rnacentral:lncRNA from 1 species
UGAUAGUAUACCAUUUUUCAUCUGGCUUGCAACCAGAAUCUCUUAUGCUUCCUGCCAACCUCGCAAACUCCUGGAUCAUGAGGGCUUCCUGCGGAAGGUCAGUUGAGAUGACAUGCUCACUGGGCAGUGGAUGCCAUCCAGUCUGGAGCUCCUUAAAGCCUGAAUCUGUAGCAAUCCUGAAUUUAGCAGGGGUUUCCUCGAAAGGAAUCACAAAGUCACUUAAAUGAAGGGUUCCUCUUGUUCCCAUAACACAGAGUUCCAUUGUCAGAUUAGAGAGGAAAGAGCAGUGGAAGGUUGCGUCUUUGCCAUCAUCCCAUACAAAAGUAGCCCCACAUGACAAGAUUACACCAGCUUGGUUCUUCACACAGCCAUGGUGCGCAAUUGCAGUUUUGGGCAGUUCGUAGUCGGCGGCCCAUAGGAUCGCGCGGAUGCAGUACCACCCAACAUCACCAAGAGCCCCAAGGGCAUCAAGAUCAGGCUUCACACGGAUGUCAUUCUGAAGGAAAUCAGGGUCCGCGCAAAAGGUGAAGCUGCUGUGAAUCUGCCAGCCCCAUAAGAUAAUAAAAUAUCAGUUCACAUACGCUUAGAGAUAUCAUUCUUGAUUUAUAAUAUGUAAAAGAUCUGGCAUAUGGAACAUUAAAGGAAUUCGCAGUUCAGGGCUACUAAAGGAGCAUCAAAUGAGUGAGGCACCAUAACCUGUAUCCCUAAGGUGCCGACAAAAUUCCAAGAAAAUAUUUAUUAUAGUAUAGAAUCAAUGGAUGGGAUCAAAAUGAAAAAAUGCAAAACUCAAGAUACAGCUGAUUAAAGUGUGAACUCUGAAGAGCAAGAGACCAUCUGCAACAGCGGUGCAGUAUAUGAUGACAAAAAUCUCCCAAUUUGUACUUGCAAACACAGACAAAGAACUAUAUACUCAAAAUAUUGAUUUUAUUAUGAAUCAUCCGUAGAUACCUUCAUUUAGAUCUGCUGAAAGAAAAGCACAACUUAAAAGGGGCCACACUUACUGAAAAAUAGAGAACAGUCAGGUAUAAUUUAGGCCUUGUAGGUGGAGGGAUGACAGACAAAAGGAAGAGCACACACUUCUCUCUCCCUCUUUGUGAAGACCUACAUGUGUGCUAAUAAUUGAAACAAUGGCUCCAUCUCCAGGUUUGCAUACCAUUAAAAGCAAUCCUACACAAUCUAGGGUAAACGCAUAUCAGAGAAGUUUCCCUUGGGACAUGGAAAUAACAUAAAAAGCUAAUUGCAACCCAAUAAAAGGUCCUUCAUGAAAAAUGUGGCACCAAAACUAGACUCACAAGGACAAAGUGAAAACUAAAACCAGUUUAGAGAUGAAUUCAUUGAAAAAUUGUAUUCAUGUUUGCUCAGAAAAGUAGGGUAUAUUCUAUAAGUAGUUCCUGGUUACUGUAUUAUCACCACUAAACACUUUUUAGGUGAUGGUACCUACAUGCUCAUGCCAAAUUGCUAUCAGAUAUGGAUUACGAACUUUCAUGAUCUUCUAAAGCAGGGUUCAACGACUUUGACAAAAGUCUUUGAUAAAUACAAUUUUAUGGGAACAAAAGGGAAAGUUCUUAGAAUUCAUUUGAAAAGCCAUCCGCAUAAAAAAAAAAAAAGAGUCUGGAAAGACUUGAAGCCUGGAUGUACUGCAAGAAUGCUCGCUCAAAGACCACUUGAUAGAUAGAACAUGAAACACAAAAAGAUAGGAAUAAUGGAGAACAUAACGAGAAAUUUAGGUGAGGGUUCGUUGAAAAGAAGAUAACUCAAGCAUCCAAAGACUUCAAGAGAUCUCCCAUUCAAUUUAGAAUCUAGUCCAGACACCACAUCUGCUCCAGAUCACUCAUGCAGCCACUUGCUAAUCUACCAAAAACAUCAUAAUGAGUACCGCUAUGUGUACCCCAGCAUGCACCCACUACAAGCGCAAACUAGGUUUUGUAAACCAUACAUAGGGUAGGUGGUUGCAAAUAAAGAUAUGCCAUCUUUUAAUCAAAAAAAAAAGCCAAUUUUUUGAAGCCAAAAAAGGGUAAGAAUAACAAUAAGUGUAAAACAUACACUACACUGUAACUUUAAAUCAGUUAAUCAACAAGACAAUAGGUAAGGAGGUAAAAUAUUCCCACCCAAGAAAUGGGAACAGAAGAACGCUGAAUGGACGGACCCCUCAGCCUCUUUUAAAGUGGACACUGCCGCUGCCCGUGAAGAGAAAUGAGAUAAGAUGAGGAGGAAGGCCGGACCGAUCUUGUACCAACUGGUUCAGUGAGUAAAGUCUCUUACAUGGAUACAAGAGACCUGUGUUCAGUCCCACCACCAUCACCCAGAUUCUCACCCGGGCUUCCGCCUCUCCGAGUCACAAAUACAGUUCUCAUGUUAUGCUCACCGUCUAAAAUGGAAUCUAUCUCUCACAAUCAAAUCCAUCAAAAAGGCCAAAAAAAGGAAUUUGAAGAACAGAUGACAGUCCAAGCAUCCAAAUGCCAUCAAUUAAUCAAACACUUGCCAAAAAUUCCUAAUUUCCAAAUAAGAACAGAGAUGUAAACAAAAUCCUUCAAGAAAAGAAGACCCAACAAUACAGGCUGAAUUACCAUCCAUAUAUACACAAACGAAAAUCUACAUUCCUUUUCUUAAACCCCUAAUUUCCAAACCGAAUGACUAGAAGUUAAAAGGUUUAUCUUUUGAAGAAAAUACACAAACAUUCGCGAAAGAAAACCUCAAUUACGAUGGUUCAUUCAAUUAGCUCCUACACCAAAAGGCGUCGUAAAAAAGGAGCCAUUUUUUUAGGAAAAACAUAAUCUUUCCAAAAAGGAGGAAAAAAAAAUUCCAAAAGCAGGAAAUAAAAGACCAGGAGAAAAACUUAACCUUCCGAAAAAAAACGCCCAAACAUUCGCCCCAAACAAUCUAUCCGAAAAAGCAAUUCUUUCAGGGAAAAGAAGGAAAGAAACAGCACGAAUUACCGCUUUUAGCUGGCCAAACCGGUUGGGGUCCGACAACAGCUCCCUCAUCCGGGCCGUCCGUGGAUGGUGCAUCCACAUGGUGGAGUCCAUGAACUGCACCCCGCGGGACCUGCAGGCCUCCAGGAUCCGGUCCAGAUCCGCGGCGCACAGCGCCGUGGGCUUCUCGAGGAGGACGUGCUUCCCGUGCUCCGCCGCGGCCACCGCCCAGCGGACGUGUAGGCCGGUGGGGAGCGGCACGUAGACGGCGUCGACGGCCGGGUCAUCGAGCACGGCCUCGUAGGAGCCUUGGGCGCGGGCGGCCGGCGGGAGGCCGUUGUCGGCGAUGAAGCGCUGGGCCUUGUCGAGAGAGCGGCUGCCGACGGCGACGACGGUGGCGUUGGGCGCGAGGGCGAUGGCCCGGGAGACCUUGCGGGCUAUCGUGGCGCACCCCAGGAUGCCAAACCGGACAGGAUUCGCUUUGUCGGCCAUCUUUUUUUCCUUUGCCUUUUUUGGUGUGUUGUCAGGAGAAAGAGCUAAUUUCUACUGACGAGUGAUGACCUUCUUCCCAGUGUCCUCUCCAGAGGCGUGAUACUUUGUAAAGUGUGGGGUUGUCCCUGGGCAGCUGGGAAAUGGACUCUGCGGUUGGCCGCCGUUGGCUUUUGCCCUUCUCUUUGAACAAAAUUACUGACGACUGCGGCCAAUCAUGGACGGAGAAAAGUUUGAAGCGCCAAAAAUCAGACUUUGACUUUGAGGGCAAAUUGAACUUGAUAUUAUUGGCUUCUUGCAUACAUGACAAACUAAAAUUUUAUUCCAAGACCAAAAUAUAUUGUUAACUUUUUUUUUUUUAUGUCAGAUGGCAAUUUGAUAAGUGAAAAUAUUAGAUGGCUGUUGGUAUUCUCCAUUUGAUAUUGAUAUAAUUAUCAUUAAUAAGUCUAUAAUAUCUAUAUAUUCUUUAUUAUUUUUAAAAUAUUAAAGCAUAUGAAUUUAAAUUAAUUAUAGAUCUCUAGAUCAAUAAAAUAGUUUUUAAUAAUUUAUAAAUGAUGAGUUAUUUUUUGUUCAUUGAAAUAAGAAAUUUAUUAUCAUGAACUAUUCCACAAUAAUUGAUGUUAACAUAAAUCAUAAAGUAUCAUAACACCAAUCUUUUUUUUUUUUUUUGCCCUAUUCAAUUGAGAAUGACUGAAUUAUUUUCACUAAAUUUGACUUGUAUCAUUUGAGCAUAUACAUCUAAUUGAAUAUAAUUGUGUCGCAGGCUUUGGUAUAUUUGUUCAAAUAUAAGAAACCAAUUUUAAUAAUGAUAAUUCAAUCACUCUUAAUUAUGGGAUGACAAAAAAAAAUAUUAUCAUGCUGCAUGAUCUCACGUUGAUAUCAAUUUUUACGAAAGGAAUCAUGAUACCUUUAAGAAAUUUUUGCCUCAACAAAUGAACAACUUAUGAUUUAUAAAUUAUUGAAAGCUAUUUCAUUGAUUUUAAUGUUUAUGAUUAAUCUAAAUUCAAUAUACAAAAAUAAUGAAAAAUAUGUAGAUAUCAUAAGCUCAAAUAUGAUACUUACAUCAAAAUCAAAUAAGAGAACAAAAUUACCAAAAUGAUUAUCCAACAUUCCAAUUUAACUAUGUUAAGGUCAAAACAAAAUAAAAAGAUCGAUAAUGUUACUCAGCUUUUUUUUCUAACCCGUCGAUUCAACUGAAUCAUCACAUACUAGAUAAGUCUCAACGAAGUUUUCAUUUUUUUUAAUAGAUUUUUUUAAUUAUAUAUAUAUGAUCUUAAGUAUGCAAAAUUACAUGGAUACCUCGUAAAAUCAUAAUUUAUGCAAAUAUCAUUUUAAUUUUUUCUAUUGUGUGACUACUAUUAAAGACAUUUCAAUCAUUUUAAUUUGUAUCCAUUUAUUUUUUAAUGACGUUAGAUUGUACGAAUUUAUAUUUUUUUAAAAAAAAGAUAUACAUAUAAAAUAAAUAUUUUAUAUAGGCAUGCAUGUAGAUUUACAAAGAUAUUCAUGUAAUUUGUAUAUUUAGAAGGAUCUAUAUGUUUUUUCCAUUUUUUUUCUUAAAUGGCAGUAUACAAGUUAGCUUAUCCAAAUCUUUCAUGGACCGAGGAAAGUUUGCAACCCAAAACUAGACUUUUGAGGAUAAAUUGAACUUGGAAAGUCUUACCAGCAAUAUUAUUGGCUUCGUGCACACAUGAGUUUAAAAUUUUAUGAAAAUUUCAAAGCUCGAGUUCCAUAUCAAAGGGAUGAUGGAAGCGCAAUUGGACAUGAAAGAAGCUUGAUGGCGAUCGAAAAAUCUCACUUAGACCAAACGAUAGCGAUUUUUUUUUUGGAUAAAAAAAAAGAUAGAAGUUAGAGGCUCUUUUAUGCUUUCACAAGCUGGACGAGCUUCUAAGCUGUAGUUGAUGGUUGCUGAUUUCGGCCAAAAUAUUUAGGCGAUAGCCUUCAUACCUUGAAACAUUGAAUGGAAAUGCAUAAUGCUACUAGGUCCAAAACUCCAAAUUGGUAAAGAGAGCUUCUUCCACCACUCAUCCAUGAAUGGCACCAACCCCCCAAAAACCACCCUAAUCGCCUCUUUCCAUCGAGAUUUUGGAUGAAAAAAAUGAAAAUAUUUGAGGCUGCGUCAUGUUCAUCUUUUGUUGCCUUGAGGAUCCUACUUGCAUUGCAUCAACCAAGCAGGUCACAUAAAGGAGAACUUCAUACCACGUGGCAUGUGCUCUAUUUUUUUUUUUAAUUCCACAAAAUAAGAACCUUGUAGAAUGGCUCGGGAAAAAAAAGAAAAAAAAAAAAUGCUCUCCCACAAACAUGACUCACAAACAAAAAGUGAAAUCAAUAAGACAAGCCGCCAUAAUUGAACAGCACAGCAAAUGCACAUGGCAGCACCGUGAACACUCCAUUUUACGUUCUUCCUAAUACCAUCACAGUGCGUGUAGGUCUGCCAGCAUUAAGCAUUAUAUUUGUGAUUCUUAAAAACAUAUAUGAGACAACAGUUUCUAUUUAUAAUAUUACAUUCAUCCAUGAACCUUAACCAUAAAGGUUUAGUUCUAAUUCCAUUUAAUUACCAUGUGCCAUUCGUAAUCUUUAUUUAGCAACACGAUUACAUCAUAGGGCAUAACUGAGGGGAACAUCCACUAACCGGUAACGUUGACAGGUUCAAACCCCUUCUCUAUCGACUCUUUCACUGCAUCAAGUACCAGUUGUGUCUUUCUAGUGAUGAUAGGCCAUUUUUCAUCUGGCUUGCUACCAGAAUCUCUUAUGCUUCCUGCCAACCUCGAGAAUUCCUGGAUCAUGAGGGCUUCCUGAGGAAGGUCAGUUGAGAUGACAUGCUCACUAGGCAGUGGUUGCCAUCCAAUAUGGAGCUCCUUAAACUUUGAAUCUGUAGCAAGCUUGAAUUUAGCAGGGGUUUCCUCGAAAGGAAGCACAAAGUCACUUAAAUGAAGGGUUCCUCUUGUUCCCAUAACACAGAGUUCCAUUGUCAGAUUAGAGAGGAAAGAGCAGUGGAAGGUUGCGACUUGGCCAUCAUCCCAUACAAGAGUAGCCCCACAUGACAAGAUUACACCAGCUUGGUUCUUGACACAGCCAUGGUGCGCAAUUGCAGUUCUGGGCAGUACGUAGUCGGCAGCCCAUAGGACAGAGCGGAUGCAGUACCACCCAGCAUCACCGAGAGCCCCAAGGGCAUCAAGAUCAGGCUUCACACGGAUGUCAUUCUGAAGGAAAUCAGGGUCUCCUCCACCAUAGGUAAAGCUGCUGUGAAUCUGCCAGUCCCAUAAGAUAAUUAAAUAUCAACUGUGAGAAAGAUCUGGCAUAUGGAACAUUAAAGAAAUUCACAGUCCAGGGCCACUAAAGAAGCAGCAAAUGAGUGAUGCACCAUAACCUGUAUCCCUAAGGUGCCGAUAAAAUCCCAAGAUAAUGUUUAUGAUAGCAUAGAAACAAUGGAUGGGAUCAAAAUGAAAAAUGCAAAACUCAAGAGACAGCUGAUUAAAGUUUUGUGCUCUGAAGAGCAAAAAGACCAUCUGCAACAGCGGUGCAGUAUAUGAUGACAAAAACUCCCAAACUUUUACUUGCAAAGACGGACGAAGAACCAUAUACUCAAUAAUGUUGAUUUUGUUAUGAUUCAUCCGUACAUACCUUCAUUUAGACCUGCUGAAGGAAGAGCACAACUUCAAAGGGGCCUCACUUGCUGAAAAAUAGAGAACAGUCAGGUAUAAUUUAGGCUUCGUAGGAGGAGGGAUGACAGACAUAAGGAAGAGCACGCAUUUCUCUCUCCCUCUUUGUGAAGACCUACAUGUGUGCUAAUAAUUGAAACAAUGACUCCAUCACCAAGUUUACAUACCACUAAAAGCAGUCCUCACAAUCUAAGAUAAGAGCAUAUCAGAGAAGUUUCCUCUAUGACAUGGAAAUAACACAAAAAGCUAAUUGCUGAGCAAUUUGCAACCCAAUAAAAGGACCUUUAGGGAAAGUGUGGCACCAACACUAGACUCACAGGGACAAAUUGAAAACUAAAACCAGUUUAGAGAUGAAUUCAUUUAAAAAUUGUACAUAUGUUACUCAGAAAAGUAGGUUAUGUUAAUAGAUCAUGGUUACUGUAAUGUCACCAUUAAACACUUUUAAGGCCAUGAUACCUAAAUGCUCAUGCAAAGUUGUCCUCGUAUCUAGAUUAAGAACUUUCAUGACCUUCUACAAUAGAGUUCAACGUCUUUGGCAAAAACCUUUGAUAAAUAUAAUUUUACGGAACAAAAGGGAAAGUUCUUAGAAUUGAUUUGAAACGCCUUUGACAAAAAAGAAGUCUUGAAAGACUUGGAGUUCAGGAUGUACCGCAAGAAUGCUUGCUCAAAGACCACUUGAUAGAUAGAACAUGAUGUUGGAAUUAUAUUUAAAAAUCAUAUGUGAUAUAAGAAGACUAAAAAAAAUUUUUAUUGUAAAAUUGUAAAUGACUUACAGAAAAUAUAGAAAUAAACAAGAUCAAACCCGGAAGCAUGUUGGAUACUGUCUUAAGGCGUAUUCCCAUCCCGAGCUCAUGCAGAAGUAUCUGAGAAAACCACCCCAAGAUACGAUCGUGAUCCUCCGCCUAUAAGCACGAUCGUAGAGGAGGUUGAUGAAGACUCUUUCAGCACUCAGAAAAAUAAUCAAAAAGAAAAAAAAUUGAAGAGAAAAUAUUAGAAGAAAAAGAGGGAGAGAUUUGGAUAGGAUAUCUAAAAUCAGAUCUCAAGAUGAUCUUUUUAUAGCUAUCCAAUAUGACCGUUUAUAAUCAUUGAGAUUUUUAUUGACCCAUUAAGAUCUUUAAUAAGAAGUCCAACAGUUAAAACCUUUAAUACAGAGUCCAACAGUCAAAAAAAUAAAAUUAAAUGCACAUGACUGUUGGUAAUUAGAAGCCCAAUAGUCAGAAAUUAAAAUCAUGAUAAUAAAGAGAUUAAAAUAUUUAAAAGAUAAAAUUAAAAAUAAGAUUAAAUAAAGUUUUGAAUUUUCUUUUUGGAUUUUCUCCAACAAUCUCCCACAAAACUCAAUAUUUUUUUUAAAAAAUAUAAAAUAAAAAAUAUAAAUUUUUGGAUGCUUAUACUAUAUAAUGGAUCAGAUGACUUAACAUUACUUAGUGUGAAUAGUUUUCAUCUAAAGAAAAUGAAGUGAACUAAAUCUUGAACUAUGUUCUUUUGACUCAGACUUCAACUACCACACACAUAGUAUAAAGUUUCUUCAUCGCUAGUCUGUAUAUUAGUGGUCCUGUACAUGUAUCUUGAUUUUUCAUAAGAAUUACUAGAAAUAACUCAAAUCUUAUAUCCACAGUCAUGUACGGAUACUCUCAUAUAGCUGAGCCCCUCCAGGGAUGUAUGUCGUGUCACAUCUCAUAGAAAAUACUACUUUAAAUUUCAUUCAGAGUUAAAACUCUUCCUAACUACUACAUAGGAGCACAAAUCACCAUAGAGAUGGGUUGGAGUAUAUGACUUUUAUAUCAAAUAAACCACAUGUGCUCCCUGACCAACCAAUUAGCUUAUUAUUAUCACAUUGAACCUCCUUCAAAGGAUCUCCUAUCACAGAGAUUGGGUUCUCACUAUUGGAAGGUCUAUUAUAGACAAAACCCCAUCCCCCUUGAUGACUCUAGGAUCUUAAUCUUAUUUAAUCUUUAGCAAGAUAGACUGAUCAAAAAGUCUUCCCCUUACAAUUUCUAUAAUAUACCAGAUAUAGCAUGACAAUGUCAGACUUUAGUGCAUUGUUUGAAGAGAAAAUAUUAGAAGAAAAAGAGGAAGAGAUUUGGAUAGGAUAUCUAAAAUCAGAUCUCAAGAUGAUCUUUUUAUAGCUAUCCAAUAUGACCGUUUAUAACCAUUGGGAUUUUUAUUGACCCAUUAAGAUCUUUAAUAAGAAGUCCAAUAGCUAAAACCUUUAAUACAGAGUCCAACAGUCAAAAAAUAAAAAUAAAAUUAAAUGCAUAUGACUGUUGGUAAUUAGGAGCCCAAUGGUCAGAAAUUAAAAUCAUGAUAAUAAAGAGAUUAAAAUAUUUAAAAGAUAAAAUUAAAAAAUAAGAUUAAAUAAAAUUUUGAGUUUUCUUUUUGGAUUUUCUCCAACAAUCUCUCACAAAACUCAAAAUUUUUCAAAAAAAUUAAAAAAUAUAAAAUAUAAAUUUUUGGAUGCUUAUACUAUACAAUGGGUCAGAUGACUUAACAUUACUUAGUGUAAAUAGUUUUCAUCUGAAGAAAAUGAAGUAAACUAAAUCUUGAACUAUGUUCUUAUGACUCAGACUUCAACUACCACACACAUAGUAUAAAGUGUCUUCAUUGCUAGUCUGUGCAUUAGUGGUCCUGUACAUGUAUCUUGAUUUUUCAUAAGAGUUACUAGAGAUAACUCAAAUCUCAUAUCCACAGUCAUGUACGAAUACUCUCAUAUAAGUGAGCCCCUCCAGGGAUGUAUGUCAUGUUACAUCUCAUAGAAAAUACUACUUUAAGUUUCAUUCAGAGUUAAAACUCUUCCUAACUACUACAUAGGAGCACAAAUCACCAUAGAGAUGGGUUGGAGUACAUGACUUUUAUAUCAAAUAAACCACAUGUGCUCGCUGACCAACCAAUUAGCUUAUUAUUAUCACAUUGAACCUCCUUCAAAGGAUCUCUUAUCACAGAGGUUGGGUUCUCACUAUUGGAAGGUCUAUUAUAGACAAAACCCCAUCUCCCUUGUUGACUCUAGGAUCUUAAUCUUAUUUAAUGAUAGACUGAUCAAAAAGUCUUCCCCUUACAAUUUCUGAAAUAUACCAGAUAUAGCAUGACAAUGCCAGACUUUAGUGCAUUAUUUAAAGAGAAAAUAUUAGAAGAAAAAGAGGGAGAGACUUGGAUAGGAUAUCUAAAAUCAGAUCUCAAGAUGAUCUUUUUAUAGCUAUCCAAUAUGACCAUUUAUAACCAUUGGGAUUUUUAUUGACCCAUUAAGAUCUUUAAUAAGAAGUCCAACAGCUAAAACCUUUAAUACAGAGUCCAACGGUCAAAAAAUAAAAAUAAAAUUAAAUGCACAUGACCGUUGUUAAUUAGGAGCCCAAUGGUCAGAAAUUAAAAUCAUGAUAAUAAAGAGAUUAAAAUAUUUAAAAGAUAAAUUAAAAAAUAAGAUUAAAUAAAAUUAUGAGUUUUCUUUUUGGAUUUUCUCCAACAAUCUCCCACAAAACUCAAAUUUUUUUAAAAAAAAUAAAAAAUAAAAAAUAUAAAUUUUUGGAUGCUUAUACUAUACAAUGAGUCAGAUGACUUAACAUUACUUAGUGUGAAAGUUUUUAUCUGAAGAAAAUGAAGUAAACUAGAUCUUGAACUAUGUUCUUUUGAUUCAGACUUCAACUACCACACACAUAGUAUAAAGUGUCUUCAUUGCUAGUCUGUGCAUUAGUGGUCCUGUAUAUAUAUCUUGAUUUUUCAUAAGAGUUACUAGAGAUAACUCAAAUCUCAUAUCCACAGUCAUGUACGGAUACUCUCAUAUAGAUGAGCCCCUCCAAAAAUAUGUGUCGUCUCACAUCUCAUAGAAAAUACCACCUUAGAUUUCAUUCAGAGUUAAAACUCUUUCUAACCACUACAUAGGAGCACAAAUCACCAUAGAGAUAGGUUGGAGUAUAUGACUUUUAUAUCAAAUAAACCACAUGUGCUUUCUGACCAACCAAUUAGCUUAUUAUCACAUUGAACCUCCUUCAAAGGAUCUCCUAUCACAGAGGUUGGGUUCUCACUAUUGGAAGGUCCAUUAUAGACAAAAAUCCAUCCCCCCUUGAUGACUCUAGGAUCUUAAUCUUAUUUAAUCUUUAGCAAGAUAGGCUGAUCAAAAGGUCUUCCCCUUACAAUUUUUAAAAUAUACCAGAUAUAGCAUGACAAUGUCAGACUUUAGUGCAUUGUUUGUAUAUCUCCAGGCAGUAUCCCAUAUGUUCCUCUGCCUAUGUAAUUCAAUGUAAAUUAAAUAUGUAAUAGUGAAGUGAUAUAUAAAGAUAGCAAAACUAACCAAUGUAGAAAUAACUUACUGUGAUUGUAAUCAAUUCACUGAUCAUUCUGUGACAAAUUGAUUUGAAAUUAGUUAGGCACAUCAGCUAGAUCAAGAUAUUUAACAUAUAAAUGCAAGUAUCGCUAUUUAUGCAUACACAUGACCAUCAUAUAUGCCUGCAAUAUUAAUGUUGCAUGCGUAUCUUAAGAAUGUAUUGUAUCAAAUGAUUGCAUCUGUGCUAUUAUACAAAUGCACAGCUUAAUAAACAGUCCACAAUUUAAAACAAAAUAUAUAGAGCCUCUGGUAUGAUAGUAUAAGAAGAACUACUUGACGGAUUUUCUAUUGCCGAUGUCAACUAAGGAUCAAGUCAAUAGUUCAGCACACGGCAACUUUGAAGUGUUAACAGUAGUUGAAAGCAACAAAAAUUCAUGCCAAAUUAUACAGAGGAAAUGCACCAUGUUUUGUUGCUCCACGUCUCUGCAGAUCACAAAUCACAUUUAUGGCCCCCGCAGGAGGAGAAAGUAUUACAUGAACCAGGUCGGAGUGAACCAGAACAAACCUCAGAGCAUAGGCAUGGUGGAUAACACGCAAUCAGGAAUUGGUGAAAUACAAGAGGUAUGUUAUCCACCAUGGGAUUUGGUGAGGUCCAUUGGAUCUGGUCCAAGUAGUAAUUAGACCUUCAGGAGACUCGCCGAGUGCUGCUAACUCGGCAGAAAAGUCUGUACAAAUAAGUGGCCAUAUAUCAUUAUUAAAUUAUAUAAAUUAGGGAAAAAUAAUAGUUAGCAUAUGCUUCCAAGUCAGAUGCACAAGCUUAAUGGACCUUAUCACAGAAAAUUUGUGAUAUGGUGAAGCAAGACCAUGUGAUGGGUAGAAGAAACUUUUGAGGUCAAAAUUUAACUGGGCAGAUUCCUUGGAAUCUAUAAGUCUGAAAUCAUGAACCACAACUUGAAAGUUCACUAAAGCUUCAAAAAAAAAAAAUGUGAGGAGACAUGUCACUAUAUGCAUCAAAUUACAAGUUUCAGUGAACUGGACUAGUCACAGCAUUUACCAUAAUUCCAAUGAAAAAAAAUAGCUUAAGUGAGAGUAAUAUGAUAUAGCACAAUCCCCAACAUGAUGUGGUAAAGCAUAUCACUGUUUUACAUAUUCGUUGUUUGCAAAAGAAGGAACACUAUCAUCAACGCAAUUAAAACCAAGGAAAAAACUGAAAAAUGUCAUGAUGGCCAUUAAUUACAGUAAUAACUGGAAAUAGCAGGCAAUAAGUAGAGAUUUGAUUUUCAAUAUAUUUUCUUUAUUUUGAUGGACGGUGAAAAUUUUGAAUGACCAUUAAUUCCUCAAGCAUUAAAACUCAACGGUAUGGUUUUAGUUGAAUUCGGUUGAAUUUUGAUCAUAGCGCGGUGUUUUUCAUAGAAGUUAUCUCUACAAGGAUGGUGAGCAUUCAAGCAUAUUUUAACUAUUACAGAAAGAAUCUUGACACUGUUUAGAACUUUAAAUCAAAUAUUUGGGUGGUGGGUGCUGUAUCGAUUAAAAAUACAUGUUACCAGCAAAAAACAACUAAUUAACAAGAGCGAAACUUCAAUUACCUAUUAUCUGGCAUACAGUGCUUAGCAGAAAUUAAUGACAACCUUAUUACACAAUAUUGUUGCACAAUGUAAGGUCUUAGAUAAAUGAAAAUUUAUAUUUAGUUUCCUAAUUACAUGAAACUAAUGCAUAGCUAUUCAUACAUGUAAUAGAACCUGAAUUGCUUGUAGCCAAUUAAUUUGCAGGUUUAUCUGAACCUUAAUAUUUGACACUGACAUGCAAGUGCAUGACUUGGUAUAUUAACUGGUUUCAUUACAUAUCUAGGCAUUCAGCCAUCCACAGGGCCAAUAGGUUGGAUGGCCUAUUCACAGGCAUCGUUACCAGUUCUGAACUCCAAUUAAUUUGGACUACAAAAGUGAAUCAGUUACAAUAGGAAAUCUACUGCAGAAAAUAUAUGAAACAAAUGCUGAGUAUAACGUAAACAUAGAGUAUUAAAUUUUGUUGAACUAGCCACAUGUCUUGUAGAUGGGAACGUAUAUAUGCAUUUGAGAGAACAUAAGUUCUCUUUCACUCUUCACAGAUUUACUGUAUCAAUCAAAGGCAUAAACACCAAUUAUUCAUCUCUAUCCAAAGAUGACUUAAAAAAAAAAUUCCAAGCAACGAAUACCUAGCAUCCUAUUAUCUUUUUAAUCACAAUAUGGGGAUUACGACUUAGAUUGUUGGAACAAUAUUUAAAAAUCAGAUGUGAUAUAAGAAGACUAAUAAGAAUUUUUUUUAUAAAAUUGUAAAUGACUUACAGAAAAUUUAGAAAUAAAAAAAAUCGAAUCCGGAAGCAUGUUGGACACUGUCCUAAGGCGUAUUCCCAUCCCUCGUACAGAAAUAUCUGAAAAAACUACCCUCAGAUACGAUCAGGAUCCUCCGCCUACGAGCAUGAUCGUAGAGGACAUUGAGGGACUCUUUCAGCAUCCAAAAAAAUAAUCAGAAAGAAAAAUAAUUGAAGAGAAAAUAUUAGAAGAAAGAGAAGGAGAGAUUAAUUGGAUAAGAUAUCUAAAAUCAGGUUUCAAGAUGAUUUUUUUAUAGCCAUUCAAUAUCACUGUUUAUGACCGUUUAUAACCGUUGGGACUUUUAUUGACCCAUCAAGGUCUUUAAUAAAAAGUCCAACCGUCAAAAUUUUUAAUACAGAGUCCAACGGUCAAAAAAUAAAAACGAAAUUAAAUGCACACGAUCGUUGAUAAUUAGAAGUCCAACGAUCAGAAAUUAAAAUCAUAAUAAUAAAGAGAUUAAAAUAUUUAAAAAAUAAAAUUAAAAAAUAAGAUUAAAUAAAAUUUUGAGUUUUCUUUUUGGAUUUUCCUCAACACAUGAAAGACAAAAAGAUAGGAAUAAUGGAGAAUAUAACGAGAAAUUGAGGUGAGGGUUCAUUGAAAAGAAGAAAACUCCAGCGUCUAAAGACUUGAAGAGAGCUCCCAUUCAAUUUAAAAUCUAGUCCGGACACAACAUCUGCUCCAGGUCACGUAUGCAGCGACUUGCUAAUCUAUGCCAAAAACAUCAGUCUAACAUCUUUACAAAAUGAGUAAUGCUGUGUGUACCCCAGCAUGUACCUACUACGAGUGCAAACUGGGUUUUGUACACCAUACAUGGGAGUAGGUGGUUGCUGUUGAAGAUAUGCCAUCUUUUAAUGAAAAAAUAAAUGCCAAUUAUUUGAAGCCAGAAAAGGUUAAGAGUAACAAAAUGUGAAAAACGGACACAGGACUAUGUAACUUUAAAUCACUUAAUCGACAAGACAACAGGCCUGGAGGUAAAAUAUUCCCACCCAAGAAAUGAGAACAGAAUAAUGCCGAAUGGACCCCUCAGCCUCUUCUAAAAUGGACAUCGCUGCUGCCUGCUGCCCGUGAAGAGAAAUUAAAUAACAAGCGGAGGAAAGGCCCGACCAAAUUUGUUUCAACUAGUUCGGUGAGUACAGUCUCUUACGUGGAUACAAGAGACCUGGGUUCAGUGCCACCAGGUCCACCACCAUCACUCAGAUUCUCAACCGGGCUCCUGAUCCUCUAGACUUGUUUGGUUUGCAGAAAGUGGAGGAAGAAAGUCGCAGUUCUGAAGAGAAGAAAAGUACUCUUAUUUAGUUAAAAUUUUAAGAGGAGGGAAUUGAAAAAAUCUUUUCUAUAGGAAAACACUUCCCAUGUUUUAUGGAAAAUGAAAACCCAUGGAAAAAAUAGAUUUUGGGACUUCCCGUGGAAUAAAAUUGAUGGCCAUUUUUUCUUUCCAAAAAUAUAUAUUUUAAGAUCUACGGCUGAAAUUUUGUAAAAUAUUCAUGGAUGAUUAAGAUGAAAUACUGAAAAAUAAUAUAUACGAAGAUCUCUAUUUUCUCCUCCUUACAAAAUUAAUAUUAUAUUAAUAUUAUUGUGGUGGUAUAGAGAGAGCCUCUUUAGUCUCAUAUUGGUUAUGGGUCAAAAGGGAGUAUGACUUAUAUGGAUUAGAACCUUCUCUCUCAUGUGAGGCAUCUUUGCAAAACCGUGAAGCUUUAAAUGACGAAGGCCAACUUAAACCUAAGACCCACUAAAGCCUAAAGAUGAUCAUAAGCCCAUUCAACCCUUUGACCCUUGAACAAAUAUAUUAAUAUUAUAUUUAUACUUAUAUUAAUAAAUUUAUUAUACUAAAAUAUUAAUAUAAUAUGAACAUAUAUAUUAUUAUUGUAUUAAUAUGAUAAAUUAUUAUAAUCUAAUAUGAUAAAUUAUUAUAAUAUAAUAUUAUUAUAUUUAUGUUAAUAUAAUAUAAUAUUAUUAUUUAUAUUUGAGAGCAAAAGUAUGUGAUCUUAUAUUUAUUAAGAGCAUAAUAGUUAUUUUACAUAAUUUUGUUAGGAGAGUAGAUGCUUAACAAACCAUAAGCCACUUUAGAAUAAAUAAUUUUUUUAUAUUUAAGAAAGCAUGCCAAAAUUAUAUCCGGAAGAAGUAACUUUUCAAAAAAUUAAUUUUUUAAAAAAAAUUUUUUUUCAUGAACCAAACAAAUCCUAGAGUUACAAAUACUAUUCUUAUGUAAUGUUCACUGUCUAAAAUGAAAUCUAUCUACAACAAUCGAAAGAAGAAGAAGAACAAAUGACAGACCAAACGUACAUAUGCUUCUCAUGUUAUGUUCACCGUCUAAAAUGAUAUCUAUCUACAACAAUCAAAUCCAUCUAAAGUGCCAAAAAAAACAAAGAAGAAGAAGAACAAAUGAUAGACCAAACAUACAUAUGCCAUCAUUAAUCAAUCACGAUGAUCCUUGCCAAAAAAUUCCUAAUUUCCAAAUGAGAACAGAGAUAUAAACAAAAUCCGAAACAACACGAAUUACCGCUUUUAGCGGGCCAAACCGGUUGGGAUCCGACAAGAGCUCCCUCAUCCGGGCCGUCCGAGGAUGGUGCAUCCACAUGGUGGAGUCCAUGAACUGCACCCCGCGUGACCUGCAGGCCUCCAGUAUCUGGUCCAGAUCCGCGGCGCACAGCGCCGUGGGCUUCUCGAGGAGCACGUGCUUCCCGUGCUCCGCCGCGGCCACCGCCCAGCGGACGUGUAGGCUCGUGGGAAGCGGCACGUAGACGGCGUCGACGGCCGGGUCAUCGAGCACGGCCUCGUAGGAUCCGUGGGCGCGGGUGGCUGGCGGGAGGCCGUUGACGGCGAUGAAGCGCUGGGCCUUGUCGAGGGAGCGGCUGCCGACGGCGACGACGGUGGCGUUGGGGGCGAGGCCGAUGGCCCGGGAGACCUUGUGGGCGAUCGCGGCGCAUCCUAGGAUGCCGAAUCGGAUAGGAUUCGCUUUGUCGGUCAUCUUUUCUCCUUUGUUUUUUUGGUGGGUUCUCAGGAGAAAGAGCUAAUUUCUACUGAUGAGUGAUGAGAAUCUAGGACCUUCCUCCCACUGCCGCCUCAAGAGGCGUGAUUUAUUUUUAUAGGGCGUGGGGUCGCAGGAGAGAGUGCUAAUUUCUACGGGUGAGUGAUGAGAAUCUAACACGGAAAUGGAUCCUCUGCGAUAUUCGAUACUCUACAUAUUUCAGAGAUAUUCAUCACGUAAAAAUAUUAAAAAUAAAUAAAUAAAUUUUAAAAAUAUUUAAAUAAUUUAAAUAAACAUCACAUAAUUAUUUUUUUUUGAUAGCUAUCUUAAUAUAUGUACUAUAUCGUAUGGUACUUUUUGAGUAUUACAGAGGAUCCCGUUCCAUCUAGCACCUUCUUCCCACUACCGUCUCUAGAGAGUGAUAUGUAUCUAUAGGGUGUGCGGUUGUUAGGAGAAGAAGCUAAUUUCUAUUAAUGAGUGAUGAGAAUCUAGGACCUUUUUCCCACUAUCGUGUCUAAAGGCAUGAUAUAUAUUUAUAGAGCGUGACGGUGCCGGGAAAAAAAGCUAAUUUCUUCGAUGAGUGAUAGAAUCCAGGACCUUCUUCUCACCUGAAGGCGUGCUAUAUAUUUAUAGAGCGGGGGCUAUCCUAGGGCGGCAGCUAGGUGAUGACAAUUGCGGGAGGCUGAGGUUGGCUAUUGCUUUUGUUACCGAACAAACUUUCAGAGGCUCAGGCUUGAGCUAGCAUGAUACAGGUUCAUCCAAUGAGACCAUCUUGAGAUUGAUGAUAUCUUUAGACAUCGAGAGAAUGAAGGUAGAUAUUACAUAGCUUCAGAAGAGAUAGGAUUAAGAGGAGGGCCUCCAAGAGCAUGACCUAAAGAGCUUCGUCAUAAGCUCUCCGAGCACUACUUCUUAUUGAGAUAGUAGGAGAUGAUGUAGAGACAAAAGUCUAAGAUACAGUAGAUUAGAGAGGGUGACCUGAAUACCAAAUUCUUCCAUCAGUCGAUGAUAAUCCGAAGGUCUAUCAAUCGUAUUAGGUAGUUGAGAGACAACGAUGGAUGAAUGGUAGAGGACAAUGAUGAGAUCAGAAGCCAGAUCCUAUAGUUCUUUAGAUCUUAUUGGACCACUUCCUCAAGCAGGGAUGACCCCCUUUAGGGGUUCCAUCCUAUGUACAGUAUCUUUGAUGAGAAGAAUGAGGUCAUCACUUGUUCAGUCGACUAAGGAGGUGUGUGAAGCCCUCUGAUCCCUCAAAGAGGUCAAAGCCUCAGGAUCGGAUAGUUUUUUCCUCUCUUCUUUCGUUAGUACUGACCGAUUGUCGGUGGAGAGGUGAUUAAGAUGGUGCCGGUGGUUUUUGGAUUUAGAGGUAAUCUGGAGUAGUAGAAGAAGAUGUUGAUCACCAUCAUCUCGAAGAGACCUGAUCCGUCGGCCCUGAGACAUUUCAGACUAAUCAACAUUUGCACCACUCUUUAUAAAGUAUGUGUGAAGGUCCAGAUUGGACGACUGAAGCAGGAUGCAUUUGUUAGUGAUCACUGUAUCACCGAUAACAUCUUGCUUGUCCAAGAGUUUAUGUAUGACCUAUGGCGUGCCUCCAUUCAUCAGAGCUUGAUGGCGAUCAAUCUGGACAUGGAGCGGGCUUAUGACCAAAUGAGCCGACGAUUUCUACGUCGGAUGCUCGAUGAGUUCAACUUUCAGGAUAGAAGGAUUGACUAGGUGAUGGACUCUGUGGAGGCCUUGAGUUAUGCCAUCCUAAUCAAAGGCACUCUGACGGAGUUCUUUCAUUUAACAUACGAUCUUCAUCAAGAGUGCCCUCUCUCUCCCUACCUAUUUAUUUUAUGUACUGAUGGUCUGUCUCAUGCUCUUUGGAUGGUGGUUCGGGGGGUAGAGUUGGAGCUCUACUGGCUUGCCCCUGAGAUUUAGUCGCUCUUAUACUUUCUUUUUGUAGAUGAUUACUUGCUCAUUGGUCAGAUUUUGAUCCGAAAUGUUAGGUGCUUUGCAUAGUUGAGGCCUACUAUCGAGCUUCUGGCCAGCUUAUGAAUCUACAGAAGUCUACAUCACUUUCAGCCCCAAGAGGAAAGUCCAAAUGAAACAGAUGAUUAGGGACAGACUAGGGAAUCCUGAGCAAGCUGGGACAUUGAUCUAUCUAGAGGUUCCUAUCAUAAGGCGGAGACUUCGGAGAGCUGAUUGUAGGCCUAUAGAGCAGUGGAUCCAGGAUCGCCUUGAGGGCUGGCAAGGCAACAUCCUUUCCAUGAUGGGGAGGACGACUCUUGUGAGAUCAAUCCUGAGUUUCAUUCUGUCUAUCUCAUGGUGAACAUUGUUAUGUCGUGCUUUUGUCUCAGAGGUUUGCAGCAGUAAUUCCAAAAUUUUUUUCUGGGGCUUUAGAUAGGGCGACCACAAGUUUCACCUACUUUUCUGGAUUGUGGUCUGCCAGCCUAUACAAUACAGGGGCUUAGGGAUCCAGUCCUUGCUGGUUAGGAAGAAAGCUAUAAUUGUUAGAUAUGCGGCUAGAUUCCUCACUCAAUCUGGCUAUUUUAUGCAAUAGAGUGAUAAGGGCUUGGUAUGGGGUUUGGAGCUAGGGGUCCCAGAUCCAUAUUGAUCGUGGCUACUUCUUUGUUUGCAGAGAGAUUUGCAUCCACACCCCUGCAAUGGUGGCCCGGGUCAGAUGGCUAAUUGGUGAUGGAACUUCGAUUGAUGUAAGUCAGAAUGCUUGGAUUUUUAGCCUCCCUCUCUCAUAUUGAUCGACCUACAUCAGCAUGGAGGUGGAUGAUGACCUACAAGUCCAUAAUUUGAUCACUGAUGAUGAUAGAGGUUGGAGGUCUCAGGAUGUCAUCCAUUUCUUUGAUGGUCAGCUUGCUGACAGGAUUCUUUCUAUCCUUAUCUUUAUCCAUCGGAGCUAUGAUUUGAGAGUGUGGGGCUGGUCUUGCUAUCCUAAAAUCCCUAUUAGGGAUCUCAUUGAGAUGAGCAGGCCAGUGCUAGAGAGGAGGAUUGAGGCUGGUUGGAUUUGGAGAGUGGCUAUCUAUCCUAAGGUCAGACUUUUCCUUUGGAAGGUUGCCUAGGAUCGGCUGCCGACUUGGACACUUCUCAAGAAUAGUAAUAUAGAGUUUUCGGUUGUCUGUUCGAUCUGUGGAUUGGAGGAUGAAUCGAUAGAGCAUGUCUUGCUUCAUUAUCCGAGGGCGUGUUUAAUCUAAGGGAUGGUGGCUAGCCAGCCUUGGGGGGGUAAUUAGUGACUCCUAGCUUUCCUCCUUCUUAGAUGUGAUCUAUCAGAAUAUGACAGAGGGCCAGCCCUCGAGUGGUAGGAAGGUGUACGUCGCCUUUCAGAUUUGGCUGUCUAGGAGCAGCUUGGUCUUCAAUGCCGAGAUUGUGCCUGCACAUCAGAUGCUGGAGAGAGUCUACUAUUUUAUUGAAAAGUACAGUCAUUUUGAUGCGGCUGGCCAAUCCCUUGUCGCCUCGAGUUCUUGGGACUCUCUUAUUAUGUAUGCAACGAUCUGAAGGGUUCUUUUGAUUUUCUGGAAGCCUCCUCCAUUGACAUUUGCCAAGAUCAAUUUCGAUGGUAGUGUUAAGGAUAGUAAAGAUGGUGCAGGUUAUGUCAUCCGAGAUUCGGAUGCCAAGCUGUUGGGAGCUCACCACUUUUUGAGCCGUCAGUCCUCGAAGUAGAGCUCCGUACUACCUAGACGUUAUCUACAUAUGACAGGAGCUGCGGGCGGAGAGAAUCUUCUUUGAGGAUGACUCAAUCACAAUCAUUAAUAAGAUCUGAGAUGAGAUAAAGCAUCUUGAAGUUCGUUUGCUCCAUGAUAUCCAAAGAUCUUCUGGUCAUUCCACCACGACGGCUAUUCGAAACUUCUUACGACAGCUGAACAGCACCAUAGAUUGGGUUGCUUCUUUUGUUACCUAUCAUAUUGGAGACUGAACUUAACGCCUAGGUGGCGAUUGCCCAGAAAUUUUAUGUGAUAUUUUGUAUUCUAUUUUCUGGACUGUAAAAAAAAAAUAUAGAUAAAUUAUUUUUUUCCUUAACGCAGAUGGAAGCGCUUACGUAUGCACAGACGGGUUCCUUCACGGGCCGAGGAGAACUUGUAGCCUUCUGAGGACAAAUUGAAUUGGACAAAUUGAACUUGGAAGGCCUUAUCAGCAAUAUUAUCGUAUACAUUAAAGUUUUGUCAAAAUUUCAAAGCAUGAGACCUAUAGCGAAGGGAUGACGGAAGCACAGUCGAAGCCGAAGAAUUUAAGAAAAUUGAUGACGAUCGAAAAAAAAAAAAUAGCGAAGUUGGAGGCUCUUUUGACUCUUUCACAAGCUGCACGGGCUUUUAAGCUGCGGUUGAUCGUGGCUGAUUUCAGCCAAAAUAUUUUGGCGAUUGCCUUCAUUUUAUGAAACGUAAAAUGGAAAACGCAUAAUGCUGUUAGGUCCAAAACUCCAAUCUGGUAACGAGAGCUUGUUCCAACACUCAUCCAUGAACGGCACCAACCCCAAAAGCGACCAUAAUCACCUCUUUCGAUGUGACCAGCCAGUGUUACGAGAAGAAAAAAAAAAAAGCCCCAUAGAGAUUUUGGAUGAACAAUAUGGGAUUCUCUAGGGCUGCGUCAUGUUCAUCUUUUGUCGUGUUGACGAUCCUACUUGUAUUGAAUCAACCAAGCAGGUCAUAUAAAGGGGAACUUCAUACCAUGUGCUAUGUGCUCUAGGAUUUUUUUUUUUUUCAUUCCACAAAAUAAGAACCUUGCAGCAUCGCUCGGGAAAAAAAAUGCUUUCAUCUAAAAAUUUAUAAUUUCCAAAUUUCAGUAUAUAAUUUAAUAUUCCCUGCCAAUACAUAUGUCCCUGUAAGUAUGACUCACAAACCAAAAGUGGAAUCAAUAAGACAAGCCGCCAUCAUUGAACAGCACACCAAAUGCACAUGGUAGCACUGUGAACACUCCAUUUUAAGUUCUUCCCAGUACCAGCACAGUGCAUGUUGUCUGCUAGCAUUAGGCAUUACAUACAUAUUUGUGAUUCUUAAAAGAACAUAUGAGACAACAGCUUCUAUUUGUAAUAUUAUAUUCAUCCAUGAACCUUUUUAACUACAAAGGUUUAGUUUUAGUUGCAUAAAAAGCUGGAUCUAUGAGAAUUCUAAAUAUAGAAAAAAUAAAGAAUUUUUUUGCAUUGGACAAUUAGAGGAGGGGGCAAAUGAAAGAUAAUAAAGAGCACCGUAAUUUUUCAUAACAACCAACCUCUUGCCGAUUGAUCCUAAGUAGUUCCAUUGAAAUGGGAACUGAAUUUUGGAAACGCUUCCACAUCAACAAAUGAUGCGAAUUCCAAUCUCUUGCUCGAGGAUUACACUUUCAAAACAUGACCAAAGCACUGUUACGUGAGUGUGUAUAGGAUUUUAACUUUACAGGCCAAGCAUUUAGCCAAGUAUUUUAUUUUUGUGUGAGAGAGACCCUUGCUAUAAUUACCUAGGUCUAGAUUUUCGAAAUACACCAUCCAAGAAUUGAACCUCAUUACUUUUCACUGCUAAGUUUAAAGACGUGUUAUUAUCAUAGCUGUUGCUGUCAAUCCUCUCGUCGUCUGUUUAUCGAAAACAAGUACCUGCAAAAUGAAAUCCGCACUGAUCGAAGUUGUCUCCGAUGGAGACCCUCCGAUGCCUAAGUUAGAGGAAGAGAUUUGACAACAGUAGUAUGAGAAUGAAGACAGAGCUCAGCAUAUAAAAAUUGGCUUACCGAAACUGUUAUCUUACCCCCUUUUUAUAGAGUAGAUCGUCGUAAUCGUCGGAUAUGGUCCCAUAUUUAGCGACGUAGAAUCACAGAACGGUAAUCUCGUAAUGGGUUAUUAGUCCUCAUGGAUUACACUGCGAUAUCUGUGGAGUAACCGUCCGUGACGGUUAUGAUAUAUUUGAAUGAGUCGGUCGACUGUGCGUCGGAGGUCGGUUGUCGAUUAAUAACUCUAAAAUAUCGACGAUCGAAGUAGUUUGUUGUCUGUAGAGUCUGAACAUCGACUGCUUACUGAUACCAAAUCAGUAAAGGAGGUUUGGUCGGUCGGUUGAAAGCAGUGUCGGCCUGCUCAACCGAUAUAUAGUUGGUAGUCGCUUCUAGAAUUGUCUGUUCGUUAGGUGGGUCAGAGUUGGACGUCGGUCGGUGUGUGCCGGAGAUCGAUCGAUUUAUGGAGGUCGGUCGGUUUACUCCAACAGUUGCCCCCCACUCCUGAGUUCAAUGGUGAAUCAUCGCGUGCAUCGUCACGUAGUUAAUCACCUUGGACGAAAAGAGUUGUUGUCUGUCAUGUCGAAUCCCGGCUCUGACACCACUUUCGUUGGAGCACGAUCGAACAGUCAUUUUGUCUCUUUUGAGCUAUCGUAUCGAUAGGAGGAUCUGCUGUCAGGCGUUGUAUCGAAAAUGUGAACCGGCAUCGUGGGAUUUAAUUCUGGCAUGUAGAUUUUCGCCACAUGUCGGGGUGCCAUUGGGUCGAAGAUGUUCAUGCGGAUUGGGAUGACAUGGUUCAAUCUAGGGCAGGUGCAUCGAACUAUCCUAUCCAUGAUCGGCCCAGAUGUUGCCAUGAAUCAUCAUCCGACGUAUUCUCGAUCUGAUCGCUUUCAUCUGGACCGUCGGGCAUUCCUAUAUAAAAAAGCCACUGUUAGCCAGGUACUCAUCCCUCAUUUCGUCCUUUCUGAUGGGAGAGCUUUGUUAGAGAGCCGCUCUCGAGUAAAAGCUGUUCCUUAUCAUUUUCCAGAGCCCCCCAAAUGGUUUUGAUGGGUGAGGUUCUUAUAGGGGGUGGCUGGUUGGAGAUUCCGACCGAUGGCUCCCUGUCGGAUCUAGAGGUUUGUCUGUUAUGUGGUCUGAUUGUAAGUCAGUUUCGAAAGCAAAAUCGUGCUUCGAGCCGACAUCAGCUUUUCACCCUUGGUGCCGAUGGUGGGGUCGACAACCCAUUAUCAUGUAUUUUGCAUCCCCAUCUCAGCUGCAUGAUCCAAGUCAUUUUCGUCGGCAGACAAAAACCUAAAUCCCGCCUCUUGCUCUGGUUGUCGGUAGGGCUUCAGCAAGGAGGGUAUGGUCGUUGACCAUAUUUUUCAUGUAGAAGUGGAUCAGGCUGUUGGCGUGGUUGGUUAGACAUUAUGAUCGGCCAACCAUCUUCGUAGUCUGAUCCGAUUUGUACUAUUCCCGAGCUGGAAGGUAAAGUUUGCUGGGGAAGUUGAUUCAAAGUGGGUCUGCAGAUUCUUCAGUGGAACAAAAGGCGGCGACGAAGAUUAGUCGGUGUUUUUUUUUCGUAGCCUGAUACUUGUAGUCAGACUUCGAUCCGAUUUUGUACUUUCUUUUUCGUUAAUGAAUGGAAAUAUUUUUCUUCAAGAUAGAACUUUUGUUUGCUGAAAUGUCUGUGAUGUCCGUCCGUAGAAUAAUUUUUGAAUGUAGAUCGUAGAUCCGAUCAUUUCGCAGUCUUUGUAGAGUCUGCUGGUCGUGUAGUUUCCAUCGUAUUUAACUAGGACAACGAUAGUAACUCGAAUAUCUAUUAUCCGGACCUUGAUCGGGUUUAUAUGUCGUAUUAUCUGAUAAAUGACAGCAAGCCGAAUAUUUCUCGACUGACUGUGGCCAUGUCGGUAUAAUUCCAAUCCGACCUUGGUCGUUUUGGUAUUUUGUUUUCCUUAGUUGAUACCAAAUCGACAAAUUAGCCAGUCAUUUGAACAAAAAGCUAAUUAUGGGAGCAGCGCGGCUUUUGUGGAGGAAAUCUGCAUGGCCGGUGCUAGCCUCCCAUUGAAGUAGAUAGGUCGAUUUUGCGGAGAGUCGGAAUGCAGUCGGUGGUCAGGCUGAAGGUUUCUGACUUCUUUAGGAAGUCAGACCCCAAGCCGUGACAUCGAUGAUCCGGCUUGUGUUUACGAUUGGAAUUAUGACUUCUUUGGCUGGUUAAUUUGCUGGUCCUCAAUGAUCCGGCCUGAUUUACGAGGACCGACAUUUCAUUAGAAGUCUGAUUUACGAUUUUGAAACAGAACUAUGUUUUCAAGUGCAUACAAGGAUUAUUGAUAGUACAAUUUUAGAUUGUCGGCAUUCCAUGUUCGGAGAAUAGCCAAACCUUUCAAGGUUUCGAGCCGAUAGGCACCCGAUCUGUUUGUCUCUGAUAUCCUGUAAGGUCCUUUCUAAUUUGGAGAUAGCUUUCUUUGAUCUAGAGAUUUUGAAAUUUCUGCUUUUCUUAGAAUUAAGUCUCCUGAUCAGAAAACUUUCGGCAUGACUUUGGUAUUAUAGCACCGAGCUAUUUUUUGUCGGUACGUGGCCAUACGAAGUUGAGCUUCAUGUCGAAGUUCUGGUAGGAGAUCUAAGUCGGAUCUUCGAUACUCGAAGUUGUUCGGUUCAUUGUAUUGCUCAACUCUUAUCGAUGGUAACCCGAUCUCGAGUGGGAUCAUCGCCUCUGUCCCGUAGGCUAAGUUGAAAGGAGAUUCUCCAGUCGGUAUACGGAGAGUUAUCUGAUACGCCCAUAAGAUUGGAUAUAACUCUUCAACCCAAAGUCCUUUAGCCUCAUUCAGUCGGGUCUUUAACCCAUGCAAGAUUGUUCGGUUGGUCACCUCAACCUCUCCGUUUGAUUGCGGAUGCCCGACUGAUGUAAGCUUAUGUAUAAUAUGAAACUUCAUAUAGAAUGUUCUAAAGUCCUGAUUAUCGAAUUAUCGUCCGUUGUUGGUGAUGAUGGUAUGCGGCAGUCCGAAUCUGUAGAUGAUGGAUUUCUGGACGAAGUCUUCUAUUUUACGUUCGGUGAUUUGGGCCAGGGGUUCGGCUUCUAUCCACUUAGUGAAAUAGUCGAUUGCGACCACUAUGAAUUUUUUUUGGCCAGACGUCGGAGGAAAAGGAUCGAGUAUGUCGAUUCUCCACUAAGCGAAAGAUCAGGGUGCGACAAUGGACAUUAGCUGACUGGUGGGUUGAUGCUGUAUGUUGGCAUACUUCUGACAUGGUUUACACCUCCGAACUAAGUCAGCCGCAUCUUUUUGCAUGGUGGGCCAAAAGGAACCUUGUCGCAAAAUCUUGUAGGCUAGGGACUUGCCCCCAAGUGGCUUUAACAAAUUCUUUCAUGUACUUUUCUAAGUGCAUAGUCGACAACGGUCGGUCCUAGGCACUUCAGUAAGGGAAGAGAGAAUGAUCUUUUAUAGAGACGACCAUCCAUCAUCACAUACUAGGAAGCUACCCAUCAGGUUCGUUUUGCUUCCACAUGAUCUUCAGGGAGGAUUCCGUUGAACAGAUGCCGGAUGAUCGGAUCCAUCCAACUAGGUUCGACUGUUAGCUACAACAUUUUUUUAUUUUUGUCGAUGCUCGGUUGCUCAAGAUACUCCAUGAAUGUUCGACCCAACGAACUGUAAGCAGUCGUUGUCAGUCUGGAAAGUACGUCAGCUCGAGCAUUUUCGAUCCUGGGUAUAUGGAAGAUCUCGAAGUAUCUUAAAUUCGUCACGAGAUCUUUCACCUUUUGAAGGUAUAUUGCUAUGAUCGGGUCUCGGGCUUCGAAUUCGUCUUUGACUUAUCCCACGAUCAGUUGAGAGUUGGUGAAGACUUUCAGACUGUCAAUAUCGAGCUCCUUAGCCAUUUUCAAACCGACUAAGAGAGCUUCAUAUUCGGCUUGAUUAUUUGAAGCUUUGAAGUCGAACUAAAGGGCGUACUCGGUGACUACGCUCUCUGAGUUGGUGAGGAUGAGGCCAGCUCCACUGUCUUGAGCAUUCGAUGCCUCAUCAAUAUGCAGCACCCAGGUCGACCUUAGGUCGGACUCAGGAUUGCAGCCUCCUUCGUAGUUGCAUCUUCCGACUUGUUGUCGGCUAUUGUGCAUUCUGCGAUGAAGUCAGCUAGAACUUGUGUCUUCAUGGACAGUUGUGGUCGGUAUUGUAUGUCGAAUUCACCUAGCUUCACCGCCCACUUCGCCAUUCAUCCCGAGGUAUCAGGACGGUGCAGGAUCGCUUUUAAUGGUUGAUCGUUAAGGACCACAAUGGAGUGUGCCUGGAAGUAAGGACGAAGCCGUUGUGCCGAUAUGAUCAGAGCAUAGAUCAUUUUCUCUGCUCUCAAAUAUCGGACUUCGGUGUUGUGGAGCACUUUACUGGUGUAGUAGAUGGGUCGGUGAAUUUAAUUUUUAUCUUUUCAAAUGAGUACCGAGCUAACCGCCUCUGUCGAUAUCGUCAAGUAGAGAUAUAGUAUUUCUUUGAUCUUUGGUUUUAUGAGUAAAGGUGGAGAAGCCAGGUACUUUUUUAGAUCUUCGAAGGCUUGUCGGCAUUCAUCUAACUAGGAGAAGCCUUUCGUUUGCUUCAAAGUUUUGAAUAAUUGUAGACACCUCUCAACCGACCUAGAGAUAAAUCGGCUGAGUGUAGUGAUUCUCCUAUUCAGUUGUUGUACCUCCUUCGUAUUUAGAUGCUUCAUAUUGAUGAUAAUUUUUAUUUUCUCGGGGUUGGCUUCGAUCCCUCGUUACGAAAUAACGAAUCCAAAAAAUUUCUCCGAGAUCACUCCGAACGCACAUUUGGUUGGAUUUAACCUCAUUUGGUGUCGUCGGAGCAUGUUGAAAGCUUCUUCCAAGUCUCGAAUAUGGUUCAAAGUCUGGGUACUUUUCACCAGUAUGUCAUCCAUGUACACUUCUAUUUUUUGUCCGAUCUAUGCUUUGAAGAUUUUAUUGACGAGUCGUUGAUAGGUGGCUCCGAUAUUUUUCAGACCGAAAGGUAUUACUUUAUAGCAGUAUAAGCCCUUGUCGAUCACGAAAGUUGUGUGUUCCUCGUCCUCUGGUGCCAUGUGGAUUUGAUUAUAUCCAGCAAAGGCAUCCAUAAAGCACAGUAGUUAAUGACCCGAUGUUGUGUCUACCAGCUGGUCGAUCUUUGGCAGUAGGAAGCUGUCUUUCGGAUAGGCUCGAUUCAAGUCAGUGUAGUCGAUGCAGAUCCUCCAUUUCUUGUUGGUCUUUUUCAUCAUGACUACAUUGGCGAGCCAGUCUGUAUAUGUGGCUUCUUUGAUGAAGCCCACUAUGAGUAGUUUGUGGACUUCCUCGUCGAUGGCUUUCUAUCUUUCUGGAGCAAAGGGCCGCUUUUUCUAUCUCACUGGUUUGAUGUUUGGACUGAUGUUGAGCCGAUGGGUCAUUAUUUUCAGAAGAAUACCGGGUAUAUCCAUGGCCGGCCAAGCAAAGAUAUCGGCAUUGGCUUUGAGCAAUUUGAUUAAUUAUUGUCGCUCCGAGUCGGACAAUUAUGAUCCAAUUCGGAUCGUUUGCUCGAGAUUUUUUAUUAUCAGGAUGGAAAUCAACUGUUCGGCUGGCUCACCCCUUUUCUGAUUCUUUCUUUGGUCUAAUUUGUCGGUCGGCAGGGAGUCCUCAGGUUUAUUGUUCUGGACAGAGAUUGUGAAAUAGCACCGGACAAGUUGUUGAUCUCCAUGCAUUUUUCUGAUGUCAUUUUUGGUCAAAAAUUAGACCAGCAGAUGGUAUGUCGAGACUACCGCUCUCAGGACAUUUAAUCUGGGUCUUUUGAGUAUGGCAUUGUAGGUCGAGGGUACUCAGAUGAUCGUAAAGGUUAUGAAGAUGGUGCUUUAUUGUGGUUCAAUCCCAGCGGUUAAAGAAAGGGUGAUUUCUCCUUCCACUAUAACCGCAUCUCCAGUGAAGCCGACUAACGGUGUCGAGAUUUUUCUGAGUCGGUCAAUCGAUAAUUUUAUUUGGAAGAAGGUCAAGUAAAACAGAAUGUCAGUUGAGCUUCCAUUAUCAAUAAGUAUCCUUUUUACAUCAUAAUUUGCUAUUGUUGCUAAAACAACAACAGCAUCAUCGUGGGGAGUUUGCAUUCCUCGAGCAUCUUCCUCCGAGAAAGUUAUUACAUCAUGAAGUUUUGGUCGCUUCAUUGACUCCUCGUCGGAAGUUGCUCCCCGAUCCAGCCAUCUGGUGAUCAUGUUGAUGACUCCCAUGGUUGGUUGGUUAUUCACAUCUUCCUCAGUCGUUUGGGGUCAUCGAUUGGGAGGGGAUUGAGUCGGUGGCUCCUUCCUAUAUUUUCUGAGGUAGCCAUAUCGUAUCAAGGCUUCUAUUUCAUCCUUGAGUUGGGUGCAUUAUUCAGUGUCAUGGUCAUGGUCUCGAUGAAACCGGCAAUACUUCCUUCGAUCACGGUUCCUCACUUUCAUCGACGGAGGGUGUCGUUGAUAUUCCGCCCCUUCGAUCUCCAUGAAGAUUUGUGCACAAUGAGCAGAGAGAGGGAUAUAGGAAUUAUACCUGUUAUGUGUCGGCCUCGGACUCCGUCAUUGGGGUGAGGCUUACUUAUUGGAUGGGGGCCUAUUUGUUUCGAUCGGAGCCCCACUCUUCUUCUACUUAUUUUUUCUGAUCUUUAUUUUCUAUCUGGCACCAGUCAGAAGCUCCUUCAUCCGUACGCAUGUAUUUGUACGCGCGUUCUAAGAGUUCAGUAUACAUCCGAGGGAGGAUUUUAUCCAGUGGGUAUAUAAAUCGGGACCCCCUCAGAUGUCUUUUCAUGGUCGAUAUGGCCAUGUCUUCGUUGAGGUCUCUGACCUCAAGCGUGACCGCAUUGAAUCGGACCAUAAAAUCUCAGAGUAUUUUGGUCUCUCCUUGUUUGAUCGAAAAGAGACUAUCCGAGGUUCGUGGCGGCCUCCGAGUGGUGCUGAAAUGGGUCACGAAAAAAUAUUCUAGCUAUUCGAAGGAGUGGAUACUUUCUGACCGAAGCUCAGAGUACCAGACCCGAACAGCUUUCCGAAGUGUAGCCGAGAAGCUGAUGCACAGAAGGACGUCGGUUACUCCCUGAAUUAUCAUGAGAGCCUUGUAGCUCUCGAGAUGAUCGAUUGGAUCGAUAGAACCAUCAUAGGGCUCCACAUGCAGCAUCUUGAACUGAGUAGGGAUCGGUUCGUUCAAAAUAAGUCGGGAGAGAGGCUGGACGGUAUGGAAAUCUAAGUCAUUUGAUGAUUUUUGACCAUCUGUUUGGAGCUAGACAAGUCGGCGGUCGAUUUUCUCGAACUUACAUUCAUAGUCUUCAAGCCGCCGGUGGUGGGAGACUCCAGAAGUUGAUCCUCCCGAUGAAUUAAAGGCAGACGAUGUUCACAGUCACUUUCUCUUCCUUACUCAAUCUAACUAGGAAGGAGAGAGGCACCGAGAAUGGUAGGUGACACGUCGAGAGUGCCACAAGUAUCACUGCUCAUCUCGUUGAGAGAGCCGAGAUCAUCGCUCUGGUGGAGGAGAUAAAGAUCGUCGUGGAUGACGGCGGCUAUGUUUGGAAGUCGCUGAAUGCACCACCGGUUGCUCCGCUGGCAGUUGUGGUGGUUGGAUUUGCUGUUGUUGGAGGCUUUUGAUUGCCUCUGCGAAGACGUUCAUUUGUUGCACGAUCGCAGCAAUCUGAGCAUCUGUGGUCACCACGGGACGUGGAGAACUGAGCUCUGCUGCCUGAGACAAAGGAGGAGCCUCUUCCCAAUGGGAAGAGCGUCUCGUCGAGCCGAUCGUCAUUGAUCGUUAAGCUCUGGUUCUCGUCAUUUUGAGUUUUCUUCUUGCUGCUGUCUUUCCCCUAUCUGGCACGUCAAUCUGUUGCUGCUAAUCCCCUCGUCGCCUGUUCGCUGAGAACAAGCACCUGCAAAAUGAAGUCCGCACUGACCGGAGUUAUCUCCUGUGGGGACCCUCCGAUGCCUAAGUUAGAGAGAGAGACUGGGUAACAGUAGUAUGAGAAUGGAGACAGAGCUCAACGUAUAAAAAUUGACUUAUCGAAACUGUUACCUUAUCUCCUUUUUAUAGAGUAGAUCGUCGUAAUCGUUGGAUAUGGUCUCGCAUUUAGCGGCGUAGAAUCACAGGACGGUAAUCUCGUAAUAGGUUAUUAGUCUCCAUGGAUUACGCCGUGAUAUCUGUGGAGUAACCGUCCGUGACGAUUAUGAUAUAUUUGAAUGAGUCGGCCGACUGUGCGUCGGAGGUCGGUUGUCGGUUAAUAACUCUAAAAUACUGACGAUUGAAGUAGUCUAUUGUCUGUAGAAUCUGAACAUCGGCUGCUUACCGAUACCAAGUCGGUAAAGGAGGUUAUGUCGGUCAGUUGAAAGUAGUGUCGGCCUGUUUAGCCAACAUAUAGUCGGUAGUCACUUCCAGGAUUGUCUGUUCGUUUGGUGGAUCAGAGUCGGACGUCGGUCGGUGUAUAUCGGAGAUCGAUCGAUUUACUCCAACAAUAGCAAACUACAUUUACUCAACAAAAUAGCAUGUUAUCACCGAGCAAAUUUUGAAUUGGUUACCAAUUCCAUAAGGUAUCCCAAAUAUACCACAUUUUUGUCAUCAGUUUAAAGAGUAGACUAAUUUGGAUGGCCAUCAACGAAGCAAGUAUCAGUACACAAUGUACACAUAAUCAAUAUUAGCCUAGGUGAAAUGUAUUAAAAUUUAUUAUUGUAUUGUUGGAUUUACGAUAGUCAAUCAAAUGUGUUGCUUCCAAUUUAGUUCCUUUGGCUUUGACAGCCGAGAGCCAGUGUUGAAAUGUUUUCGUACAAGAAAAGCAACCAUGUUGAUACAUUGAUUUUAUUUCCAAAUAGAAAUUUUAUCUUUUAGAAAAGGAUUGAUUGGAACUUAUCUAUCAAAUAUUUACGCUGUUGAUUGAUAUCUCCCGAUCUAUCAGUUUAUAUCAACCAAAAUUGUAAGGAUCGGAAUUCUCUAUGUCGUAUUAGGAAUCUUGACACCAACACAAGUUAAGGUACCUGGGAUGCUACCUAAAAUAUAAGCCCUAGGUCUUACUUGGCAUCCUUGUUAUUCUUUUUCUCCUACAAAUUAGUGAAGGUACCGUGGGACCCAUUUUUAAGCGGUGGGAUAUGACCGUUGAGAAAAUAUACAGGCCUUAUAUUUCACUCCUUUUUCAAAGCAACGAAUCUUUGCGAUGAUGGACAAUCAGCUUCUCAUGGAAUUGUGCCCUAAUUAAUGCGCUUUCGAUUGCUUCUACUCGUUAGGGCUGGAAGGGGUCGGGUCGGGUUAUGCCUCGGCCCGAGCCCGAUUCAAAUUUUUUUUUUGAGCUUUGGGUUGAGCUCAGAUCCAAAAUUUUUUAAAAAACUCAGAUCUGAAUACGGUCCAAACUCAAUCAGACCAGUCCAAGCUCGAAACCCAGAUCCAGCUCGAAACCUUCUCUCUCCAUCUAUUUCUUUCUCCUUCCUCUCUCUCUCUUUCUCUCUCUCAAAACUUCGAUACCACCUCCAGAUCUCCGAUCGGAGGGAGACGGAGGCUUGGGAGCGACGAUCAAGGCCCAAAAGACCGAUGGUCGGGUCCUGAAGGAGCAAUGGUUGGAGGGAGAUGGGGGCUUGGAAGUAGCGGUCGGAGGGAGAUGGGAGCUUGAAAGCAACCGUCGAGAUCCGAGGGAGCGGCAGUCGGGAGGAGCGGUAGUCGGAGGGAGAUGGGGGCUUGAAAGCAACCAUCGAAGGGAGACAGGGGGUUGAAAGUGACCGUCGAGGCCCGAGAAAGCAGCAGCUCCAGGGAGAGCAGCGGCCACGGCCCGAGAGAGUGGCGGUUGAAAGGAGACUGAGGCUUGGGAGUAGCAAUCAGAAGGAGAUUGGAGAAGAUCGGACGGAAGAGGGAAGACUGGAAGAGGGAUUUUCAAUCGAAAUGGAGUCAUGGACAAAUAACGAAAUGGAAGAACCGAAGAAGAAUUUUAAUCGGGCUGCCAUUCAGGCCGGGCCUGGGUCGGGCCACAGGUUGUCCAAGCCCGGUCCGAAAAUAAAAUGGGCCUUAAAAUCAGGCCCGAGCCCGGUCUGAAUAAUUUCGAACCGGGUUCGAAGCCCGACCCAAAAUCGGCUCGGUCCAAUGGGCCUUGGACUGGCCCGAGCCCACUUCCAGCCCUACUAUUCGUGGUGCCCAUCAUUUGUCAAAUAAAAUGAUGCAGCCCUCGUCAAACACCAAAGUCUCAAAGGUAAAAGGGAGAGCUUCAAGACAAUCUGUCGAUGAUGCAGUGGAUCAAUUUAUUAGUCUUGCACUUGGUUGAGCCAAAGUCUAAGUCGGCUGAGCAACCAUGUAAGGAGUGGAUGAUCAACAAUUCACGGCAAAAAUGUAUACAAGAACCAAAUUUAGUAGUCCAUGUUGAAGUCACGUAAGUACUGAUCUCUAAACUAUCCUUCCUGAUGCCCCAACCUUGGUUUGCUUUUUUAUUGCCUGGCUCGUGCUUGUUCGCCGGCCAAUCAAAGCAGCAUCUUUUCAAUUAUUCUUCCCCCCUUUUUUUGUUUGGUCCAUCACACAUUCCCCACCUACACCUUGAAAGCCACUCACUCCUUUUCUAAUCCAUGAAUGCACUUGCUCUUUUUCCGUAGCUUCUCUUGGUUCACUCUGGCUUUCGCCCCCUAAACUCAAUUUUUAUAUCCAAUUUUGCUAUAAAUUAUUGAUCAUCCACUCCUUACACAAUUGCUUAGUCAGCAUAGCUUUGGCUUGACCAAAAUUUUCUGAAAAUAAUCUUACAAGCAAUUUAAAAAAAAAAAGGUAUUCAUCAGGAAAACACAGGAGGCAGAUUAUUGCCAUGGUACUUAGCAUUUAAUCUUGAAGCUCCCCUCCCUGCCAGCUAAUCCACAGGUCAGUGCGCCCCCCCACCCCCGCCAAAAGAUAUGAUGAACUUGAGAUGAAGAUAUGGAGUCUCUGAUAUGCCAAACAUCAUGUAGCAGAGGAGAAGCACGAGGAAAAAUCAAUAAAGAGCCACUAACCCAUGUUAUGGUACUAGCAGGUUCCCCUUCUAGGAUUCUAAGAUGAUAUCUAUAGGAUGAAAUAAGCUUAAACACCAUAUUUGAUACUUACCAAGCUGCCCAUGGAUAGAAGAAGACGACAGAUGUUCGGAUUAUGCAAAUAGCAGUCGACCAACAUAGUCUGUAACUAAAAAUAUGAUCCUAUAGCUAGCAAUGUAAGUAGAGAGAAAACCAUUAGAAUUCGAGAAAUUGGAGAGCGGCCACACGGCACCGUAGAGUAUUGUACAUCAUGGAUGACUGCAAUCAAAAGAUAGAUAGCUAUCAAAAAAAGAUUUUGCUACGGUGUUCCAAAGAAUUUUUUAGUCUUUUUACUAUUUAUCUCUUUCUGAUCGUUGGAUUAAAAAUGGACCAUUUGGAUUUCAAUCAGAUGGGAUGAAAAUGUGCAUGACCGGUGCAGUACAUACUUCAAAGUUUAGAAUUAUUUUAUACCAUAACUUAAUUUUUUUCUUUUCAGAAAGACUUCUCCAUUUCUGGGAGUGGGAGCAGCGGAGAAGCCACUGGCCGGGUGGUGGGCUGUGCAAAAGCUGUGGUGGCAUGGGGUGGAGGGGCGGUUUGCGGUGUCGUAGAGAAAUCAUGGGCCGACAAGNNNNNNNNNNNNNNNNNNNNGUGUUAGGGAGUGGUGCAGAAGGCGGGUACGGGCGCACACUGGGGAGGACGACAUGGGGUGGGGGGGUUGUGGCGGCGUGGAGAAGCUGCGGGGGAGAAAGGUUGUUGGGGGGCGAUGCAAAAGGUGGAGGCCGCCACGUGUAGGGGAGGGCGACGUCGGGUGGGGGGAGGUUUGCGCUGGUGCAGAGAAGCCGCGGCCGGUGGGGGUGUAGUUGUGGGGAGGUGGAGAAGCUGGAGGCAGGCCCGGGGGGGUGGCAAGAUGGGGGGUGCUGGGGAGCGGUGCACAAGAUGGGGGGUGGGCAUUGGGGAGCCUGAGGCAAAGGAGCUGCGGGCGUCCAGGAUGGGGGGGGUUGGUGGGGGGGGACCGCAGGCAAGAAUUGGUUGGGAGGGGGGGUGUUGGUGUUGGUGGGGUGAGGCAUGAACACUGGUUGAGAGGGCGGGUGGGCGAAGAUUGCCGAGGAGGGGAGAGGCACGGUAGUGGGACGAGUCGGAGGGGGGGCAGCAUGGCAAAAGCACUGGUUGGAGGGGGGCGGGGGUAGGGGAAGACCGCUGUGGAGGAGGGGGGGUGGGCGGCCAGCACGGGGUGGGUGGAUGGAAGGAGAAAGAAAAAAUAAAAAUUACCUAAAGUGCCCCUUUAUAAUAAAAUAUUAUAAAGAAGCACCGUAACAAAAGUUAUCAAAAAAAAUAGUCUAUGAGUACAUACAUAAUGUAUGUUCUUUGAUAGCUGUCCAUCUGUUGAUGGCGACAAUCCAAAGAUACACAGAACCCUCGAUGUGGUCUAUACAAUGCAAAUUAUUUUAGUUGCACCUAUUAACCAUUGCCAAACAAUCCAGCUAAAGUGAUGGUAAAGAUGAGCAACCUAGUAACAUAUAACUCUAAUUCUCGAAACACCCCUUUAGAAUACUUCAAACUUGCCACGAGCUAAUGACAUGUUAGUCUAAUUCAUGUAAUUGAGACCUAAUAGAAUGUAGAGCUAAUACCAUAGAACUACUUAAGAUUCUUAUGGUGGCCAAAGGCUCAUGGUCCGAUACGUGAGAUUUUGUCCACUCUGGCUCAUGGGCUUCAUAGUUUUAUCUAUCUAGAUUCUCAUCCAAAAGGUACUUUACAUGGAGAUGGAUGGUCCAUUCCCAUAUAAACCAGAGUCUUUCUUAACUUACAAUCAAUAUAGGAAUAACGGUGUCCUCUUUCCUCAUUAUCACCACAGCCCCCCUUAGUUAAGGGAGAGUCUGUAUACAGGUGAGAGGUACAUCACAAUCGCACGCUCGGGACCUACAUGGUCCACCAAUAUUUCGACCAAGAGCUCAUAGUCCGGCAUGUGAAGUAUUGUCUGCUUUAACCCAUAGGUCUUAUAAUCUUACCUUUUUAGAUUAUAAUCCAAAAGAUACCUUAUAUAGGGAAGGAUGGUCCCUUUCUAUAUAAGCCAAAACCCUCUUUGACCCAUGACUAAUGUGGACUAAUAGUACCCUCCUUCCUUAUUAUCGUAGGUUCUUAAAGUAUUUUCCUUCUUUCUUUUGCUUCUCCUCAUUCUCGAAUGAUUUUGCAAGUGAGGAGUGGCUACUCUCCAAUCCCCACCUAUUACCCAGUAUCCAGUAUCCACCUAUGGGUGGUGCUAUUUUGCAUGCUGACGUGGCCUACCUCUGGAACUUUCAAACUGUUUUUUGACUAACCAAAAAUUUGGCCUUCAGCAUUUGUAGAUGGUAAAAAGGAAAUCCAAAUAUACAGAAAAAUGGCAACAUUGCUGGCAUCGCUUAAGACAGGUUCGUGGGUUACAUAAAAGCCUUCUGUCUACUUUCUAUAAGCAUCCACAUAUACAUCUAGGUAUCAGUUGGCAAUAUCUUCAUUUUUUUUAUUUUUUAAAAUAAAAAUAAAAAUUUAUUUUUAUUUUAAAAUUUUUAAAAAAUACUUAGUAUAAUUAAUUAUUUUAAAAUAUAAAUAUCAUGAUGAUGGACAAGAUGAUAGUAAUAACAACAAAGAUAGUGAAAGUCAUAACAGUAGCAAUGGCUAUGGUUGCAUCAAGAAUAUGGUAGCAAUGGCGAUGAUGGUAGUGUGGUAAAGGCCAUGGCUGCAAUGGAAGUGAGGGAAGGGGUGUUGACAACAUUGUAAUGGUGAUAAUACUAUAAAUGAUAAUGAUGACUAUGAUAAUAGUGGCAUUGAGGCUGAUGAUGAUUGCGACAUCAAUGGUGAUGAUAGUGAUGGAGAUGACAAUGAUGGUGAUAACAAUAAUGGUGAAAAUGAUGGUGUUGUAAGAACAUGAUUUUCUUAUUUUUGAAUAUAGUAAAAUAAUUUAUCAAAAAAAUAAAAAUGAGAUUUUUUUUUUAACUUUAAAAAAAAUAAAAAUAAUUUUUAAAAAUAAAGUUAAAAAUAAUGGUACCAAACAUGCCUUUUUUUUCAAUUUUUUUGAUUUUAAUUCUAAAAGUCAAAAAAAAAAAUGUGAUGCCAAAGAUGUCCUACUCUGUUAAUUCAUAACCAUAAAGCAUAUUAAUAUUUAAAGAUUCUAAUCUAUCAAAAGGAAUUAAAAUUUUGGUUGAGUAGUCAUCUAUGGAUAUUUUGUAAGAAGACUUUUAAGUUUUGAACAAAUAUUGGAUUUUUUUUUCUUUUGAAGUAUUUUGAGACUCCAAUAUAUCCACUUUCAUGACAAAUUAUUAACCAGGAUUCCUAUAUCAUUUGGUUAGCUGCCAAUAAAAGCAUCCUGCAAAUAGAAUUUGUUAACACCAUCUCAAUUAUGUGUAAGGCCCUUGUAGUCUUUGAUUUUAAAAUUAAAUUAUGAUGGACGAAAAAAACUCUUUUUUCCUUCACCAUGAUCCUCCUGGUUUCAGAUGAUCGUUGGCCACCUCCCCCUCCCUCUCCCUCUCCUCUUCUUUUUAUUAUUAUUGGCAGAUGGCAAUGUUGGUGGUGGUAAGGCAAUUCUCCGAUGAUGGUGGUGGCCGGGUGGGGCAAGGCUGAGACAGGUGGUGCUCAACAUGAUAAAGAUGCUGACAAUAUCGAUGAUCAAUUUUGCAAGCCAUGUACAGGAUGAUACUCGAGGACAAGGGUUAGGCCACCCCUCACGUUGGAAGCUCGUACAGCAGCAUCAACAUCUUCCAUCAUAUCACAAAUAGCAUUAGAGUGCAUGGUGUUCGCAGUUUACAGGCGACCAGGAGAUACUGCAUAACAAAUCGGAUGUUUUUAGUCUCGUAUCCGUCAAUCCAAAUAACACUUCCAUGCCUAUCCGAUUUAUUGACGAAACAGGAUGUAUCGGCCCAAAUAACAUUUCUUGAGAGCUCUCUUUUUUGGAAUUUAUCAACAUAAAUUUCAAUAAUAGUGUUAGGGAUGAUAGAGGUGAUACGAACUCUGUUAUCCAGAGUCCAGAUGUCAGACUGGCAGUGGAGACUUAUCUUUUUGAGCCUUCAGACCCGAAAGAUAAACUUUAUACCAUCUGAGCAGGUAUUAUCUAUAUAGGAGCUGUAGGUGGAGAGAAUUUUCAUUAAUGGAGAUUCUGCCACCAUCAUUGGAUGGAUCCGGAACAAUACGAAGUAAUUGGAAGUCCAUCACUCCUCCGUGAUAUCUGGACUUCUCUCCACCUUUCUACUGCGGUAUCGGCCCAAUAUAUUUGUUAGGAAAUGAAUAGCACGGCAGAUUGGAUUGCAUCAUAUGUGGUAGAGUUCUUCGGAGACUAAAUAUAGAGGUAGGGCGAGACAUACCCACCAGCCCUAUUGAAUCUUUUGUAUAUUGAUUCUUUGGGCUGCUUUCAUACCAAAAUAGUGUGACUGCUUGCAUGCACCCAAAAAAAAGUCUACAAAAUCACCAUAUGAUCUUUUUUUUUUUUUGGUACAUAUGAAUGAUCACACGACUCUAGUAUGAGUAUACCCCAUCAAGUCAGAGAAAAAAACAUCUUGUAGGGCCCGAGGGCACCCCUAAUCGUGUCACCAAAUCCAAUCUCUGGUGCUUUCAAUGGCAAAAGAAGCAACCCAAUCUACCACACUAUUUAUCUCUCGGAAGAUAUGACGGAUCGACACUUCGGUGAACUCUCGGAGAAAAUUUCAGAUGUCAUGGAGAAGCGAAUAAGCCUCCAGGUGUCUCAUGUCAUUUCGGAUCCAGCCGAUAACGGUUGCUGAAUCACUCUCAAUGCAGAUCAUCUUCGCCUGCAACUCCCAUCUGGUGCGGAUAAUGCCUGUCCAAAUAGUUUGAAGUCCGCAUCUGGGACAGAGGCCUCAAAUAGAUACGAGCCCUCUGCUGCCAGCAACUUAGCAUGUGGUCUCCGAAUGAGAAAGUCGGCAUGGCCCCUGCCAUCCCUAAUACUGUCGUUAAAAUUGACUUUGACAAACUUCGAAGAUGGAGGCUCCCAAAAAAUAAAGAUAAUCCUCUGAUUCACUGCAGGAGCAGCAUAGAAGUCUCGUGACUCAAAAAUAUUACAGGAUAAGCCAGCGGCAUCAAAAUGAUAGUACUUCUUGGCCAGACUCAUAUCUUUCUUCAGCAUUCGAUAUAUAGGUACUAUCUUAACAUUGAAGAUCAUAUUAUUUUUAAAAAAUUAGAUUUGAUAAGCAAUAUAUGUCAUCAUAUGAUGAAUAGCUCGUAUAAGACUGGUAGGCUUUUUUAGAUUUGGUCGCUAUUAUUUUCAUACGUAUGAUUUAAAUUGAAGAAAAGUUUGGGAGGACCAAAUGGCACGUGUUUAGUCUCGGUUUCUCAGAUGAAAGAGAGAGCGUACGAGAUCAUCAUCUCUCCACCGCGAGUCUCUCUCUCUCUCUUCCCCGCAGGGCUAAUGCUAUUAAAGGGGUUUCUUUAUCAGAAAAGGGAAAAUAAAGUUUGGUGGGGUCUUUUGUGGGGUGGGUGGGUGGGGGCGGGGCAAGGGUGGGGGUGGUUUUGAUAAGUAAUUACGUUCGAAUUUGUAACAAAUUUCUUUUUUUUUCCUCUUACAAGCAUAAAUUUGUAGCUAAGAUGUAGGACUGAUUCAAUUUUAUUCCUCUUACAAUCUUUUUCGAAUUUGAGAGUAGCAAAUUUACUCAGCUUUAGUAUAUUUGUAUUUUUUUAUCCAUAUAAUUUACAUUUUUCAGCUCUUCAAAGAACAUCCAAUAAAUUUUAUGCACAUAAAAGUAGAGAUUUGGGGCUAUUUUCUUUCGGAGCUCUCUGCCUUCUCCGUGUGUGUUUUUGGUGCAAAUCAUAUUUAAUUGUUUUAUUUAGUAGGUAUCAGCUAAUUUUUCUGAGAAGACGUGAUCACAUUUCUUGAUUUUGGACAUGUUAGCAUAUACGAUAUUUUAGGUGCUCUAUUUCAAAACUUCUUAUAACUGUUUUUUUUCCCCCGAAUGUAUGAUAUCGCCCGCUUCUCUUUUUUCAGCACUCCGUUUCCUCUUUAUUUUCACUAAUUAAAAAUUCUUUGAGAUAAUAAUUUAUGUCUUGUCUUUGCACACCGGUACCCUCCAAAUAGUGGUGCGUGGCUUAAAAAAAAAAAGAAAAAGAAAAAGCAAGCUCUCUCUCUCUCUCUCUGUAACUUAAGACAAAUAUAUUUUCAUCCUAUUUUCUCCCUCUUCGUCGGGGAGGAUUUUGAUUUAAAAAACCAGAAACAGCCAUUCUAGUGUGUGUAGUGGUGGAGCUCUCCAUACACUAUUUUCUUCUUUUUUUUUAAUGUAAAGGGUGAGAAAAAACCCAUCCAAUUUUAUUAUAAAAAAUAUAUAUAAAAAAAAUAAAAAUAAAAAAUAAAAAACCCAUGGUAUAGAAGAGAAAGAACCCAUCAACAACUUUGAAUUUCAAAAAGAGCAAACCCCCAUCCUACCCCUGGGAUAAAGCAGUGCUAACUGUCGGAGAAAAACGUCAAAACCACUUAUUUCUAAAGAGAAAAAAAACUGGCGGCUUUUCAAUAAAUUGAUGAUACCUUCAUCCAACAUUGGGCAGAGGGGCAUGGCCUCUGUCCAACCGCGAAGAGAGAGAGAUGCUGAACCACUGCCGAAAGAAAUCGAUGAACAGGGAGAAAAAGAGGGAUGCCCGACCUUCCGCCAUCUGUCACGCGCUGAAGGAGGAGACCAACCGAUGGAGACCCGAACUCAAAGAGAAGAGAGAGAUGGCAGGUCCACCAUCUGCCGCACGUCCAGUCGAAGGAGAUAUGAACACAGAGAGAAUAGAGGGAGGGUGAGUCCACUAUUUGCUGCAUGCUAAAGAGAGGGCGGAUCCACUGCCAAAGGGAUUGGUGAAGUGGGGAGGGGAGAGAGAGAGGGGGUGCUUGGCCUUCUGCCAUCCGUCGCCCGUCGGAGGAAGAGAUCCGCCGAUGGGGCCAGAACACAAGGAGGAGAGGAGAGGGAGGGGAAAAACGGGACAGGGAGGGAGAGAGGAAGGAGAAGAGAGAGAGGGAGGGAGGGAGGAGAAGAGAAUGGGGGGCUGGCGGCUGAGGAGGCGCCCAAUGGCCGACAACAAAGAGAGAGAAGAGGCUCACCAAGUUAAAGGGAGGUGGGCCGACCGCCAGCAAGAGGGGGGCUUGGCCUUCCACCAUACGAUGCCCAAUGAAGGGACAGAUCCACUGAAGUGGACUAUAACUCAAAAAGAAAGAGAGGAAGGAGAAGAGAGAGAGGCUCGGCACCAGCCAAUUAGGGGGACGAGAAAGGGAAGAAAAAAGGAGGCCGGCGGCCACAGUCUGGUAGGAACAGAGAGAGGGGGAGGGCCUCAUCGCGCUAGAUGGGCUCAUUGCACCGAAAGAUGUCCUCACCAACUCAGGGAGGAGAGAGAGAGGGAGGAUUGGGGGAAGAGCGGGGUGAGAGAGGAGACAGAGAGAUGGAGAAGGAAAGAAAGAAGGGAGAAAGGAAGAGAGGGAGAGUGAGAGAAAGAAGGAGAAAAGAGAGGGGCCAAUCGAGGAGAAAAGAGGGUGAGGGCUCAACCGGGGAGGGGGGUCUCGAGAACAGAGGAAUGGAGGGCUUCGAGUAUAGCUGACGAUGCUCCGAUGAGAGUGGAAAGAGAGGGUGGGGGCAUUUCGAGAACAGUCGGUGACACCCCGAUGAGAGGAGAGAGAGAGGUGGAGGGUCUCGAGAAUAAAGAAUCGGGAGAGGGAGAGAGAGAGAGAGAGGAGAGAGUAGGAAGAGAGGANNNNNNNNNNNNNNNNNNNNNNNNNNNNNNNNNNNNNNNNNNNNNNNNNNNNNNNNNNNNNNNNNNNNNNNNNNNNNNNNNNNNNNNNNNNNNNNNNNNNNNNNNNNNNNNNNNNNNNNNNNGGGGAAGAGAGAGGGGCCAAGGAGUUCUUAAGCACAGAGAAUCGGGAGAGAGAGAGAGGAAGAGAGACAGAAGGGGAAGAGAGAGGGCAGGGGUGAAAGAAGAGAGAGAGAGAGGAAGAGAGGGAGAGUGGAGAGAGUUAGGGAGAAGAGAGAGGGGCCCGAUGGCUGGCCAUCGGAGGAAGCCUCGGUUGUUGAAGAGAAGCGAGGGGAAAGGUUUUUUCACUACUUGCAUUUAUACUAUUCUUUCAUAUGUCCAAACACGUUAAUCAUGAUACUUGUGCAGACCACAAGCAUCCUAUCAAUCCAACAGCGGAGAUUGCCUGCAUAGAAUAUAUAUGGACUAUAAACCAUAAAUGAAGUGAAGAAAAUAGAGGAAAAAAAAAACAGAUCAAUAGUGACAAUGGGGGACGGAGGGGACAAAUAGAGAAGACCGUUAAAGUCCUCGGCUAUCAACUUCUUCUCAAACUUUCUGCUCCAUUUCGUUUUUUAAAAUCACUUAGAUCAAACACAGCAUCUAGAUGGAUCCAUUGACCGUAAGCCUCUCGAUCUCCAUCAUAGCGUUGGGCAUUGGUUUGGAAUGGAUUUUUUCGGAGGGUUAGGAUCUUGUAAUCGAUCUUGCUGUUCAUGCAUCUAACGCGACAGUGGCAUCUUCGUUCCCAAAUCAUGUCAGUACUAUUCAGAUAAUCAAAUAAUUUUUUUAAAUUAAUUUUGAAUUUUUAAUAUUUUCUUGAUUUUAAUCUAACUUUUUUGGCCAGUAUCUAAUAGUUUGGGUAGGGAGUUUUUUUGUGGGACGAUAGUAUCAUAUUCUUCAACAAGUGUUUGAAUUCAUCAAUUUUAUGGGAAUGCAAGCACCAUGAUGUGGUUCGAUGGGACUACAACUGAGUCCAUCAUUGGGAUGCCAGUAACUUUCGUUUGGUUUUGGUAACGGUAACCUUUUUUUUUUUUAACAGAUAUUUAAUUACAUAUUAGUUUAUUGGGGAAAAAAUUACUAUAAACUAUAAACUUUAUAGAUGUUUAUGUCAUUCUUUACCGCUUUCCCAUUCAGGCAAUUCAACUUUGUGCUCCAAUUUAGCGUACCUGGCUCCCAUUGGGGCUGGAAGUAAGCUCGAACCGAUCCGAGAUCUAUCAGAUCAGACCAGCUUUGGAUCAAACUUCAGACUCGAUCCAAAAUUAUUCAGACUGGAUUCAGGGUAAAAAUAGAAUCCAUUUUGCUUUUGGAUCAGGCUUGGAUAGACCUUUGGUCCGAUGUAGGCCCGAGCCUAAAUAUAAAUAAAUCAAAAAAAUCAGAGGUAGAGAAGGGGAAGAGGAGAUGGAAUCAGCUGGGGCAGCGGUGGGGUCGAGUAAGCAGAAUGUGAGCGAUGAAGGAGGUAGAGUGAGGUAUAGAGAGUGCCUCAAGAACUGCGCCGUGAGUACCGAAGGCCAUGCGGUGGAUGGAUGUGGGGAGUUCAUGACGAUCAGGGUGGAGUACCGCCCCCAGUUCCUAUCGGAUGCCGGUUGUGUACCUGCACUUGCACCACCACAUGGCGACGGCAGCUGCACAGCAGCAGCAUCAGCCUCCACCGCUAGCUCUGUCGUCAACCUCCGACAGUGGAGGGCACAGCAGGGACGAUUGGGAGGAUUUUUCGAGCCCGAUGAUGGGUGGUGGAGGCAUCGGCGUCAGCGGCGGAGGGGGAGACGUCAAGGUCGGGGAAGAAUCCGAGUAGAGGGUUGCUUUCCUGGAGGUGGGGCAACCUGGUGCUGGGGCGACCUCUUGCUGAGGACAGUCGGGGAGUCGAGGAAGAUGGAGGAGUUGAGUGAGAGAGAAAUCUUGUCUAAGCCUAAUUGGGCUCGGAGGGGCUCGGGCCCAGGCUCGGACCGAGCUCGUGCCUAUAUUUUUUCAAAAAAAUCGGAUCUAAGCCCGAUCCGAAGCCCGAAAAAUUAUUUUGGGCCAGGCUUGAGCAGGGGUAGAAUCUAACUCGAUCCGAUCCGAUCCGGCCCAGUUCCAGCCCUAGAUCCAAUGGUGUCUUAUUUACUUAUUCAACGUCCCUAGGAGUUUUAUAUCAUGCGAAUUGGAUGGAUUUAUGCCAUAUUAUCUUUGGAUUUAUAAUUUUUUUUUGACAUCAGACACAUCUGAGCUUAAAGACCCAAUUUUCAAGGUUCGCACUUCAUUUGAAGUAGAAUAUUUAUUCCAAAUGGUCUCUAAUUAGGAAAUAAAUUUUCGUGGGAUGUCUAUAUGAGGCAAGCAUAACAAAAAUAAAAGAAAAAAUAUACACCGUGUCUUGGGCAGCUAAUUUGUAUGUAUAUUUUUACGUACUCUUUAUCGUCCGUUCAACAGGUCUAAAGUAUACGUCAUUUUGGGUCAUAAUGCUUGGUAGGUCCCAGGCAAAGUAUAAUUGGGCUGCUAGAUGACCAGCCCAAACCAUGGAGAGCCCAACGUGUUAGCUUACGGAUUAUCCGAUCCAGUAGUUUAAAUCACCUCACGUAUUUGGAUAACAGGAAACAAAAAAAGGCAACUAACAAGAAUGCAGUUUAAGCUCUCCCCCAUUUCACCAUAUCUCGAAUAAAACUCUAUGAGAUUAUUUUCCAUAUGUCAAUUUUUUACAAUUUUGCAUAAACUAUACAUCCACUCCUUCCUUUCUCUUUUAGAAGGUAUUUAUUUUACUAGAUUUUGAGAAUCUUUAUAUUCCUUUUAUAUAUCAUCUAGAGCAUUCACGUUCAACAACCUAUCAAUGUUGGUAAUGCCUAUAAAUUCCAUCCCCAUCCUCUACCACCAAUCCUCUCUCUUUCUCCGUGUGUGCACAUUUCAUCGGAAAUCUUUUUUGGGUGGGAUAGAUGGGAUCAGAUUCUGAGCCUCAAGAUUGGAAAAUAUAUAUGUGUUCGAAAGGGCACAACAAAGAAAAUAACUUGAGGCUCAUUUCCAAUCCCAUCCUUCCUACUCAAAAACAAAAUAGAAGGUUGAAGAAGACCAUAAGUGCCCCAAGGUAAAGUACAAUUAUCUUUUAAGAUUUUAUAUACGCUCGUUAUUUAUUUGUUGAAUAAAUGUAAGAUCUUAUUUUGAAUCACCCAGCAUAUAAGCUUGGUGUAGCUAGUUAUUAUAUUUUCGUUGCUAGGUAAGUUGCUUAUCACAUCUUAUGUCGUCGUUCUUUCUUCAUUUGGUAUUUUUUGAAAUGAAGAAUCCAAUUACUUACAGACCAUAUAUAUAUGAUGAUAACAUGAUAAUAAGGUAAAAAUGAUAUUUAUGUGAUUAAUUAGGAGAUCACACCUUUUGUAUAUUCUCGUCUUUGAUUGAUUUCCAAAUAUAUUGUAGAAGAGACCGUUAACCUAUUACUUGCUUUUGAAGUAAAAAGAUAAUUUUAAAAUUUUAUUAAUUUUUAAUUUUUGAUUAAUGGCAUUUGAAUUGCUAUGUCAAAGAUAUUUAUAUAAAAAUAAUAUUUUAUGAGGAUAUGCACAUAAAUAUCUAUUUUGAAAGAGUAUUCACGUAAAUCUAAUAUUUAAGAGGGUAUUCAAAUAAAAAAAUUAAGAAUUUUUUUGCAUGUAUAUCCUUCUAAAUAUAUGAAAUUAUAUAAAUAUCUAUAAAACUACUAUUUACAUGUAUACCCUUAUAAAUAUUUUUUUUUGCAUGUAUACCCAUGCAGGAUAUUUUGGUAAUUUUAGUUUUAAAAUCACUAAUUUCUUAAGGAUGUUAGAUGAUAUAGGUAUAUAUACAAAAGAAAGAGAAAUAAAAGAGUAUACACAUAAAAUACCUAUUUUAUGAGGAUAUAUAUGUAAAUAUAAAUUUGGAAAGGGUAUUUACAUAAAUUCAAAUGUUUAGGAGGAUAUGUAUGUAAAUUUUUUUUUUAUAAACACAAAAAUAGAUAUAGAAAAGAGUUUUUAAAAUUCAUUUUAGCAUUUUAAUAGUAGUGUAUGCUUAAGUAUUCGUUCUCCCUUUUUUUCUUUUUUUUUAAUGUGGUCAAUUGUCGCUAUACUAGCAAACACUUUUUUUUCUUUUUUAAAAGAGAGGAGGUGAUUAACCACACCUAUUUCAUUGACUAGUUUAGUAGUCAAAAAGCAUUUCAACAAUCAAUGAUCAGCUUGGACUUGAAUCUCUCUGUUUUUUUUUUAGUACAAUCGGAUGGUUGGAGCAUUCUAAUGUGAGCAUAGUCCAAGAAGUAAAAAUAUAAAAUAUCUUUCGAACUCAGGGGUAAUCAUUGACUUGACACCAUAUCCAAUCUCUAGUAUACUUGACAAUAAAGGAAGCAACUUAAUCUAUAGCACUGUUUAUAUUCUAAAAGACACGCCAAACAAUCAUGAUGGUCGACUAAUGAAAGGACCUCAAGAUAUCUUAAAGGAGUGGAUGAACAUCUAGAUGCUUCGCCUCAUUUCAGAUCUAGCUGACGACUGUGGUAAAUUUACUCUCAAUGAAGAUCCUCUCUACCCGCAAUGCCUGCCUCAUACAGAUGAUGCUUCUCUGAGUGGCAUGAAGCAUUUCUCUGGAAUGGAUGGCUCAAAAAGAUAUGAGCCCCCUACCGCCAACAGCCUAACAUCCAAGUUUCGGAUGAUAUAGCCCAAACUAUCUCUGCUAUCUCUAACACUAUCAUCGAAGUUAACUUUGGCAAAUCUUAAAGAAGGAGGCUCCCAAAAUAUCAAUAGAAUCCUCUGAUUGCAGCAGGUGCAGCAAGGAAGUCCUAGGAACUCAGGAUGACAAGGCUUGGACCAGCAGUGUUGAGGUGGCAAUACUCUGCAGCUAAGCAACAGGCUCUCUGAAACAUCCGAUACGCAAGCACGAUCUCAACAUUGAAGACCAGUCUGUUCCUAGAUAGCCAAAUUUGAUAGAUGAUGUAUGCCAUCAUAUCACCUCAGGGUGAAUCCUCGAUCGUGCUCUGAUGGAUCACGUCCAAAAAGGAAGGAAGCGAAGGGCUACUGAUCACCCUCCAAGACUGACCGCCGACCAUCCUCCAAAUCAAACUCACCCUUGGAUAGCGAAGGAGAACAUACUUUAUCGACUCAUCUUUCAGCCCAUAGACUAGAUGCAGGUAGUCGAAGCUCCAUGCCUCUAUCCUUGAGAAGCGUCUGAGUCGAAAGUCUAUUUCAAGAAACCUUUCAGAGAAAGAGUCUAAUCCUAAAAUGGGCAGUCACUCUUCAGAUCAAAGCCACCUUGGUCCUCGUAUCUAGCAUUGGCCUACUCAUCACAACGAGAUCCCUGGUAGGAACCUUAAGAUAACAGGAUCAGACCCACACCCUCAAGUCCUAGCUCUGAUAGACAGAAAUCAAGAAUUGGCCUGCUCAUCACAAUGAGAUCCCUGGUAGGAACCUUAAGAUAACAGGAUCAGACCCACACCCUCAAGUCCUAGCUCCGAUAGACAAAAAUCAGGAUAGUAAGAAUCCUAUCAGUAAGCUGACCACCAAAGAGACAGGUGACGUUCUUAGCCCUCCAACUUCUACCAUCAGGAGUGAUCAAAUCAUAGACUCAUAGGUGAUCGUCCACCUCCAUGCUAACAUAGGUUGGUCAAUAAGAGAGAGGCAAGCUAGAAAUCCAAGCAUCCCGUCUCACGUCAACCAAAGCUCUAUCUCCAAUCAACCACAUGACUUGGGCCACCACUAUUGGGGCAUAGAUAUAAAUCUCCCUCUAGAUGAAUAAGCAGCUGUGAUCAAUCUGGAUCUGAGACCCCUGGCUUGAAGCUCCAUAUCGAGCCCUCAUCAUCCUACUCCACAAGCAAUUAGAUUGGGUGAGGAACCUAGCUGCAUAUUUGAAAAUCAUAACCUCCCUCUUAACCAGCAAGGGCUAGAUCUCAAGGUCUCCAUCCCGCACAGAUUGGCAAACCACAUCCCAGAAAAGUAAGUGAAGCCCAUGUUCACCCUAUCUAGUGCCCCAUAAGAAAUUUAGAACUACUACUUCAGACCCCUGAGAGAAGAGUACGACACCAUAGUAUUUACUAAGUGAUAAAUCAGAAUGUAACUUAAGACUGAUCUUAUGAGGAUAGUUCUGCCUAUUAUGGAGAAAGCAUUGGUUUGCCAGCCCUUGAGGGAUCCCAAACCCGCUGCUCCAUGGGCCUACAGUCGGCCCUUCGAAGUCUUCGCCUUGUGAUAGGGACCCCCAGAUAGGUCAGAAUCCUCAUCUACUUAGGGAUCCUUAGCUUGUCCCGAAUUGUCUGCUUCACUUGGAUCUUUGCCUUAAGGCUAAAGAUGACUGUGGAUUUCUAUAGAUUCAUGAGCUAACCAAAACUCCGAUAAUAGGCCUCAACUAUAGUAACAAAACACCUUACAUUUCGAAUCGAGGCUCGAUCAAUAAGCAAACAAUCAUUUGCAAGAAGAAAUGCAAGGGUGGUUGACUCCCAAUGGCAGGCUAAUAGGGCUCCAACUCCAUCCCCUGAACUGCUACCCAUAGAGCACAAAAUAGAAUAUUAGCACAAAAUAAAUAGAUAGGAGAAGAGAGUGCACCCUUGACAAAGAUCAUCAAUCAAGCGAAAGAAGUCCAUCGAGGCACCAUUGAUCAAGAUAGCAAAGCUCGAGGUCUCCAUACAGUGACCCAGUUGAUCCAUCUAUCUUGGAAAUUGAACUUGUGAAGCAUCUAUUGCAUAAACUACCAGCUUAUCCAGUCAUAGAUCCGCUCCUUGUCUAACUUGAUCACCAUCAGACUCCGAUGAAUGGCGGCCACAAAUCAUGCAUAAAUCUCUGGAUGAGCAAGUCAUUGUCAGUGAUGCAAUGGCCACCGAAAAAAGCAUCCUACUUUGGACUAAUCAAACAAGGAAUAACUGACUUUAGAUGCCCGACUAGGAUCCUUGCACAAACUUUAUAAAGAGUGGUGCAAAGGCUGAUCAAUCUGAAGUGAUUCGGAGUUGAUGCAUUAGAUCUCUUUGGGAUAAGGAUGAUUAGCAUUUUCUUCCACUCCUCUCGAAUGCCUUUGGAUUCAAAAACCAUCUGCAUAGCCUCAACCACCUCUCUGCCAACUAUAGAUGAUGGCUCCAUCCUUAGUGAUGUGUUUCAGGUGGGGGCUAAAGCUGCUGAGCACUUUCAAGGGCUCUAGACCCGUACCGACGGAAAAAGAGAGGGGAAAAAUUAUUUGGCCCUAAAGCCUUGUCCUCCCCAAGUGACUAAAGGGCUCCCGCACCUCUUUGAUAGACACAAAAUAAGUCAGGACCUCAUUCUCCUCAUUUGAGAUGCGAUACACAAGCUGAGAUCCCUGGACGGGAUAUUCCCAUCCAAGAAGUUGGUCCAACGCAAUCUGAAGAACUACAGAAUCUACCCCUGAUCUCAUCAUUGUCCUUUACCACUCUACCAUCACUCUCCUUCAGUUGUCUAAUGCAAUUGGUAGAUCUCUGAAUCAUCGUCAAUUAAUGAAAGAAUUAGGUGUUCCGAUCGCCCUCUUUAUUCCAUUGCACUUUGAACUUCUGCCUCCACAAUGUCUCUUGUUAUCUUAAUAGAGAGUGAUACAUGGAGAGCUUGUAUCGAAGCUCCCUCAAGUCAAGCUUCUGGACGACCCUCUCCUGAUUCUCUCUCCUUUAGAACUCCGCAAUGUCCGCCUCCACCCCAUCGAUCCACCUAAAGAUGUCAUCAAUCUCUAGACAGUUCUACCUGAUAAGUCUGUAUCCUAUCAACUCAAAUCUGCUGGUCAUUUGAUAUCUCACAUUAUCAUAGACAGGUCUCCUCCAAACUUCUCUAAUUAGAUCCCACGAUCUUGGAUAGAAGGUCCAGAAAAGAUCCAGAAUUUUUCCAACCUGAAUGGAGCUCUGGACAAGCACAGGCCCUCAGUGGUGAUAAGAAGCAGGUAGUGGUCCGAAGCGAUCUCCGGAAGGUACUGCACCCGAUGCCCAAAUAAGCACUGGAAUCAUUAUGGAAGGACUUAAUCUCUUUGAAUAUAUUUAGUUUUAACCAUCAUUACCAUUCUUGUCAAGUUAUGACCUUUGCAAAGACCUCUUGUUUCUUUUUUCUUCCUGUAACAAAAAAACCUCUCGUUCAUUAUUAUACGUGCAGUUGGCUACUAAAAAAAGUUCUUUAUUUGGGAAUAUGCUUUCAACAUCUUUGUUCAUUAAACUAAAAUAUUAUUUUUUCCCAAUUAAUAUCCCAUUCCCAGCUAGAAUAGCAUCUACACCAACGAGGUUCACAACCGACCAACGAGGUUCACAACCGACUCAACAAAAGCUCUCAUAUUUUACCAAAAAAAAAAAAGGAAGGUUUUCAAUUUUCCAUCUCCUGAUCCGUUUAUUAGUUUGAUUGCUUCUCAACUCUCAUAUCACAGGCGGUUCCUGUUCUGCCUGUUCUGCCGCUACCUGAGCGCUGUAUUGAACUUUAUGGGGCAAACUGCACACCACAACGGAUCCGUGCUCUAGCUUUUGAUGAUAGCGAAAGCUAGCUUCAUGGAUACUGUCCUUGUAUCUUUUAGUCCGAUCAUAGCAAUCCUGCUAGAAUGCUGAAUUGCAUACCAUCUCGCAAAUGCAAUCAGAUAAAAUGUCUAAAUGGCGUACCAUUCAACAACUCUUAGCGGUGAAAUCUGAUUAGUUAAAGCAAAAUCAACCUAUCACACCAAACAAAUAAACAGCUUUAUCAGCACAAGCUUCAUUUAUCCAGCAAAGACCACAGUGAAAGCUAUCGAACUUGCAAACAUGGUGGAGUACUAAUUUAGCCACACGAUGAGAUCAUAGGGCAUAACUGAGGGGAACAUCCACUAACCAGUAAUGUUAACAGGUUCAAAUCCCUUCUCAAUCGACUCUUUUACUGCAUCAAGUACCAGUUGGGUCUUUCUAGUGAUGAUAGGCCAUUUUUCAUCUGGCUUACUGCCAGAAUCUCUUAUGCUUCCUGCCAACCUCGACAACUCCUGGAUCAUGAGGGCUUCCUGUGGAAGGUCAGUUGAGAUGACAUGCUCACUGGGCAGUGGUUGCCAUCCAAUAUGGAGCUCCUUAAACUUUGAAUCUGUAGCAAGCCUGAAGUUAGCAGGGGUUUCCUCGAAAGGAAUCACAAAGUCACUUAAAUGAAGGGUUCCUCUCGUUCCCAUGACGCACAGUUCCAUCGUCUGAUUAGAAAGGAAAGAGCAGUGGAAGGUUGCGACUUUG